GGGUUUUAGGGCUGAUUUGAGACAACUUUUGCCACUGCAGCCCGACCACGUACCUCCACGGUUUUACCUCUAGAUCGCGUUUCUGCGGAGCUCGGGCGGAGCCCUGCUGAGAUUAGAUCACCACCAACCUCCGGAGCGCCGUCACGCUGCCGGAGAACUCAUCUACCUCUCCGUCUCUCUUGUUGGAUCAAGAAGGCCGAGAUCAUCGUCGAGCUGUAUGUGUGCUGAAUGCGGAGGUGCCGUCCGUUCGGCACUAGAUCGGAGCGGAUCGUGGGAUGGAUCGCGGGACGGUUCAUGGGACGGUUCGCGGGGCGGAUCGAGGGACGUGAGGAUGUUCCACUACAUCAACCGCGUUUCUUAACGCUUCUGCUGUGCGAUCUACAAGGGUACAUAGAUCGGAAAUCCCCUCUCGUAGAUGGACAUCACCAUGAUAGGUCUUCGUGCGCGUAGGAAAUUUUUUGUUUCCCAUGCGACGUUCCCCAACACCCCGAUGAUCUCUCGGAGUACACAGAUCCGGACCAGCUUGAGGAUCUCGAUGAUUCAAAAGAUAGCAACUACCUCACUCCGGUCGAAGAGGAGGACAACCUGGGAGACGAGGAUUUCAUCAUCCCCGAAGACUCGCCAGAUCAAGAAGUAUUCGAGCGGCAGCUCAUAGCCAAUACAUGAAGCCUUAAGUUAAAACCGAGUCAAAUUAAAUCCGAACGGGAAUCCAUCAAUGAAAGAUGGACGGAAGUCCUAGACCCUGAAGAAGGGUACGACCAGGAAUGUGGUGACCAAAUAAAAGUUACCGACGUCGCCGGUUGCUCCAAGAGUUUGAAUACGAGGCCUUGGAACCUGCACCAUUCAGGUUCGCACAAGAUGACCAAUUGGACCUUCCCCGUCGAGAACGGGACGGGAUAGUUGGAGAAGCUGGAGACCAUCCUGAACACCCACACAAAAGGAGAAGAGAGCCAGCUCAUCCCGGAGGCCCAUUUGACCUACGACACAAUAUGAAUGCUAGGAUAGGACAGACAAGAUCUAUUUAUGGAUCCAGAUUGCACACUCCCGCUAGAUGGGACAGGUACCAAGCUCAACUCGAUCAGAAUGAUGGAGUUCGGAAACCGCAGCAGGGUAGGAUUUUAUCCGAUCUCUACCAUGACGCGGCUCGGAUAAGGGGUGCCCGUCACCCAUUGUGCUUCAAAGAUGAGGUGAUGUAGCAUCAGUUCCCCGAAGGGUCUAAACCCAUAAAUAUAGAGCAAUAUGACGGGACAACACACCCGACCGUGUGGAUUGAGGAUUUCCUUCUCCACAUUCAUAUGGCUCGCGGAGACGACCUCCGUGCCAUUAAGUACUUACCAUUAAAACUCAAAGGACCAGCACGGCAUUGCUUGAACAACGUGCCAAAAAACUCCAUUGGGAGUUGGGAACAGAUUGAAGAUGCUUUCUAAGACAACUUUCAAGGCACUUAUGUUCGACUUCCUAGGUCCAGUGACUUGAACCAUAUCAUCCAACAAGCUGAUGAGUCAUCCCGGCAAUUCUGGAAUCGAUUCCUCACUAAGAAAAAUCAAAUUGUUGAUUGUUCAGAUGACGAGGCAUUAGCUUCCUUUAGAAACAAUAUACGAGAUGAAUGGUUAUCCCGGACGCUCGGAGAGGAGAGUCCAAGAACAAUGGCAGCCCUUACCUCGCUCACGACCCGCUUCUGCAUGGCUGAGGAUACUUAGCUAGCCCGUCGGAACAACCCCCUUCCAAACCUUGGCACUUUUACAGCCUCAGAUGGCAAUGGAAAGCACCAUCGCAACAAGAACAAGCGUCGAUACAAUGGCAAACCGAUAAGUUGACAGUUAAUGUCGGAUUCAGCAACUCCACCUCUUGACUGAAGAAGAAACUUUCUAAAGGAAAUCAGGAUGGGCCGAUCACGUUGCACAAAAUACUUGAUAGGCACUGCCAGAUCUAGGGCACCUAAAACAAGCCCGCUACUCACAUCAACCGUAACUGGUGGGUAAUUAAAUAGGAAAGCAAAAAAUAUAGCCGAGGAACAGGGCAAGAGCCCUCAUAGCGAGGGCGAUGAAGAACCUCGUCGACCGAAUAACGGGGGCCAAAAGCAAUUUCCUUGUGAGGUGAAAACUGGGAACAUGAUCUAUAUCACGCACAUACCAAAAAAGGAGAGAAAAUGGGUACUUCGGGACGUAUACACCAUAGAACCAGUAGCCCCGAAGUACAACCCAUGGUCGGCAUGUCCGAUCACUUACGACCGCAUGGAUCACCCAACUAAUAUUCGGCAUGGGUGUUCGCGGCCCUGGUGCUCGACCCCAUUGUUGAUGGGUAUCAUAUCACUCGAGUCCUCAUGGACGGAGGCAACAACCUCAAUCUAAUUUACGCAGACACGAUGAAAAGAUGGGUAUUGAUCCAUCAAGGUUCAAACCCAGCAACACCACCUUCAAGGGAAGAAUCCCUCGCAUCGAGGCCCGCUGUUCGGGCACCAUAACUCUGGAAGUAGUGUUUGGUUCGCCUGAUAACUUACGCAAUGAAGACCUGAUCUUGGACAUUGUUCCUUUUCAUAGUGGGUAUCAUGCUCUCCUCAGACGUACAAUGUUCGACCGCUUUAAUGUCGCUCCCCAUUAUGCAUACCGAAAGUUGAAGAUGUCGGGAUCUAAGGGUGUCAUAACCAUCAAUGGGAACAAUAAGUGACCCCUUCGAACAGAGGAACAUACUAUGGCUCUGGCAAACGAAGUACAUGAUGGAAAUACGACUCUAAAGUCACAGCUAACCGUUAAGGAGCACAAAUGAGCUUGCACUCCGCCGCAGUUCCCCGACCCCUCACAUGAUCAAACCAAAUAGGGAUACGCUCCCCACAUCAGCACCUUGCCAGCAGCAAAGUACGUACCUCGAAGGCACAAUUUUGUGUUUAAGAUACCACAGGCAAUUGUGAGGACUGAUUACACGAGACUAGGUGUUCGGCUGAACCAAACUAUGGUCAUGAACAUCCUCGGUCACAUGCAGGUACAGUAAAGGACCAACUUUGCAUCAAGCUACUCCCACAUCGGCGGCUUCUCAAUACCACCUUUGUUAAAGGACCUCUCAUUGAUGUUCCCCCCUUUCAAGGAAUACUUCCCGAAGAAUGAAGGUGCAGACGUGCAGCAGGGCGUCAUAAGCGACAUCAAGCCAGCUAUAAAAAACAUGUGUAAACCUUUACUAUGUAAACUUCUUCAUUUUCCUAUCUAUAAACAGUUGUUUGAUGCAAUUCACAUUCUAUGGAUACGAGUUAAUCAGAAAUAAGGAACACUCUUUAUGGUACAUUAGAAUUGCUACAUCUUUCUUCUUUUUCCCUUCUUUUUGAACAUUUUUUCAAACACCAACACAAGCCUGUUUUCAUGCACAUGUUAUAUGCUACUCGUUAAAUUGACCAGGGGCUUGGCUGUCAUGGUUGCCCUUAGCAUCAUUGUGACACUAUUAUAUGUGUGCGGAGACUUGGAUAUUGCGUUAUAUGCAUUAGUUCCGAAUUAUGUAUUGGGUCAAUAGUUGGGUUUCCCGGCUCCUGUGCUUACCCCUUUAUGUUCCUCUUGUUCGGCGAAAAGGGUAAAGAGAGAACCGUUGUGAUUGUACUUCUAGUUGGUCCCGUUAAGUACCUCAGUGGAGAAAGCAGAAAACUAAAUGUCAUAAUAAGCGCGAACUGGUCUCUAAUCUGAUGACAAAUACUAAAUUAAGUGCUUCUUGGGGUUCACCGCGUUAUGCAGAAGGUUUAGAGUUAUACAAACCAAGUGAUAAUGUUUUUUUUACACCGUGGUAAAGCCGAACAUCACGUUUUAUAAGGGGGCUCUAAUUGGGCCCCGCAGUAAAUCUCCUAUGGUUAAGUGAAAGACUUAAAGCCACAUAGUCUGAUUACCUUGUUUCCUCCCACAUUACCGCUCUCGGGCAACAAGAUAUUGGCAAAGGCUAACAACACGAAAGCUGAAAACACCCCUGAUAGCAUCUGUCAGGGGGCUAAAGCCGACGACUAGAAACUUUCAGGUUUAGACAAACACAUGGGAUUUAAAAUUAAAAACAAGAUAAGAUAUGGUAUACCAUGCAAAGCAAAUAGCAUUGUAUCGUACAAAAAUUCGGCCGCUCGUACAGGACAGUGUUUCCCUUUAAAGAUUGCAUCUUUGGGGCACUAAGUCUCUAUAGCCCGAGCACCUUCUAUUCAAGUGGAGAAGUACAGCUCGGGGUGUUGAUGUUAUUUUCCAGGUAGUGGAGGUGCGGUGGCCAUCUUAGUGGGUUCCACUUCUGGCCAAUGCAUCAUGGUUCUUGCAAAGGCCAUUUGAGCUCCAUCUAUGCACGUAGAGCGCUUCCGAUGACAAUCUAGAGCGUGACAACAAUAAGCUUAUGCACGAGGCAAAAAUAGCUGCUCGGCAGCGACUCUGUCGGCCAUAGCUUGACGUAGAGAUCCUUCAUUGCCGGCUCUGCCAUCUUGUGCAGCUUCGUCGGUUGUUUUAGCUGAUUAGAGACAGGAAGGGGUUGCUCGGGGGCUUGGAACCGCGCCGAGAACAGCCUUUGCUCGGCCUCACCCUCGUGGGCUGCAUAAUGCUUUGAAGCAUCAGCCGCACUCUUUGAUCCGCAAACAUGCCUCGAGAAUGCCAUACUAGAGUAAGCAAUGCAAACCUUUUUCGCCAAAAACAGUGAAGUAAAUAUCUCUUACCAUGUGCAAUCUGCUUGAUCUCUUGGAUCUCCUUCUGAUGGUUGUGUGUCUCCUUCAUGCAUCUUGAAGUGUAGCAGUUGCCGUGAAUAGCUCGAAAGAUGUUUCUUUAUUUUUCUGCUAAAGGACCUCACAUUUAGUAACGGCAUCCUUGAUCUCCUGUUGUACCUCUAUGACCCUGGCCUUGUGCCUUUCGCUGGCAGACUUAACUGUCAAGAGUUUGGUCGUAGCUUGUUCGUCCAUCGCCCUCUGUUCGGUAGCUUUCUGCUUGGCUUGCCCAGCUCGGCUUUUAGCCUCUCGACCUCCACGACAGCAUAUGUAAUUUUCAUGCAAAUAAAUUGCAUUUAAGGGCACAAAUAUUAAACAUCUCACUUUUAUGUGAAAAUUAUAAGUUCAAUGAUUACCUUGUGCAUAAUCAAACCGCUUAUUCAAGCGGUCGAGCUCUUCCUCAGAGCUCUUCACCUUUCAGUUCAUUUCUGCCAAGUCUACGGAGUUGGGGGCUGCUGUCGAGGUUGUGGCCUGCAAAUAGGCAUGUUAGAUUCUCAAGUUAUAAGAUUGUUCAAAAUCCUCUGCUAGGCAGUUUUUAUCAUCCUACGAGAGUCUUGGGGGCUACAAUCAACUUUUUACUAUUAUAUGGGGAUGUUUUCCGAACUAAUUUGACCCCAGCAUGAGUUUUUUCAACUAACACAGGGCACGGGGGCUACUGAACAUAAGGAUUGCUUAUAAACCGAUAAGGAACACUAUUACUUUGUGAAAAAGGAGUGUGCGGAUUACCUUGAAGCCUAUCAACAAGUCGACGAAAGCCUCUUUCAGAUUGCUAUCAACGGACCCAAUACUUUUGAGUACCGCGCUCACAUGAGUGCGGUGUUCUUUAGGGAUGAAAAAGUCAUUUAGACCCUCCUCCAUCAUGACCGACCACCCAGUUUGGGGCCGCUCUAUUGUGGACGGCUCUGGGUGCGGCAUACAAGUUUCCCCUUGUGGAGAAACUGCUACACAUGGCUCUGGAGGCCGAGAGGCCUGUGGAAUUGACUUUGGACUUUGGUGAGGACCCGCGUGUCCGGGAUCUCCUUCCUUUAUUGCGAGGAGGGAUCUGUCCUCCUGGUCUUGCGCGACCAAGGUCUUAACAUCGGAGAAGAUAUCAUCACCCUCGGCCCUCGUUUCCGGCUCUGGGGGAUUCUCUCGAGAUGUAACCUCCCCAAUCUCUUCUAUGGCUGGGGAUGUGUGUUGUGUGAGCCGGUCUAGAUUUUCACCAUAUUGUCCGGCGAAGGGACCCCCUCCGAAGUAUGAUCGGUGGGAAAAUCAUGCGGCGGCUUGAAAUAUGGAAGAAGGGCCUAACCGUUAAUCCACAACAUCUCAAAAAAAUGGUAUGAUCGGGUUUUUGAAAAUUACCUUUGCGCUUGGGGUUUCACCUUGAGGGUCUUUCGAAGGACCAGUGCAGAAUCCUUGAAUCCCUCAUCAAAUUCCGGAACAUCUUCAAAUAGGGUCAUGGGGGCCCUGUAUUGCUUCUUCGAAACAGAGGGAGUUGGACCUCCCUUGACGUCUUCGGAACCGCUCUCUUCUUCGUGUGGGAGGAGUCACUCUCCUCCUCCUCGUCCUCUUGCUUCUCUCCCUCGAGAUGAGAGGGAGAAAGCGUGUCCUUAGACCUAGUGUCUGAUGGACCCUUCGACCAAAGACUCUCUCGGGCCCUUUUCUUCUCCUUCUUCUUCUCAGGAAAGGGCAUGGGGCAGCUGAUCUAAUGUGGCUUUUCCAGCUAGAUCUCCGAGAACGGAGGAAAGCAUAAGUGAGCACCUUAUUAAAAGUAAGGGGAAAAAGAUAAGAAUAUGAUGAAACCUUACCAUUCCGGUACGGUUAAGGUCGGAAAUGCCAACGUCCUCCUCUUCGGUUGGCCAUGUCUUUUGCGGAUUGAACAACAACUUCCACAAUUUCUCGUGGGUAAUCGGAAAAAGUCCCUCACAGUGGUCGGAUCGUCCGGAUUAUAAGCCCACAUCAGGGUGGCCCGAUGUUGGCAGGGGAUAAAACGGCAAUGUAGCAUUACCUGGACCACGUUGGUGAGAUCAAUUUUAUUCUCCAUUAUAGGGAAGAUUUGCUUUGUGAGCACCUUCACCUCCGCAACCUCCCCCAAUGUAGGGCCUUCUCCGUCGAGGCCACAAGUUGGGUGGGAGGACCGGAUCUUAACACCGGAGGAGCUGCUCCUUACACGCCACGCGCCUCUGAGAUAUGGAGCUACUCCUUCUGCCACGCCGUGACGGUGUCUAUGAAUGUGCCCUUAGGCCAUUGGACCCAAGCAAGCUUGCUAAACAUUGCUCCCAUGCAGUCUGCCUACACGCCAUUGACAACCUUGGGUUUGAUGUUAAGGACCUUUAGCCAUAGUCCAAAGUGGGGGUGGACCCGCAAGAACGCCUCACACACUCUGAUGAAUGGUGAGAUGUGCAAAAUGGAAUUUGGGGAAAGAUCAUGGAAGUCUAGUCCAUACUAAAACAUAAUGCCCCGAACAAAGGGGCAGAGAGGGAAACCUAGACCCCGAAGAAAAUGGGGAAUGAGAACCACCCUCUUGCCAUGUUUUGGCAUGGGGAUGACUUGGCCCUUCUCUGGGGCUCGGUGCGCUAUGUUCUCCGGCAAAUAGAGGGAGCUCUUCACCUCCUAGUUGUCCUUUUCAGUAACGUAGGAAACCUCCCACUUGCCCUUCGAGCUUGAGCGGGCCAUGGCCGGACUAGGAAAGGUUCGAGGAAGUUGAGGGAAGAAGAGAACUUGAGCGCUCGAGCUAUGAAGGCUAGGAAUGGCAAUGGCGGUGCGAGAUCUGGAAUGAGUGAGGAGGCUAUGGUGAUGGUUUUACCUUUCAUAAACUACUGAAAUACCAAGAGCCCCACUACUGCGUCGUCAACUUUUCCAUUUCCCAAAAUAAUCGUGUGGUUAUACGCGUACGAGAUAACCCAAAUCAUAAACCGUAUCCCUCAAAAGGAGGGACAUGAUCUCUACUAUAGGACAUGUCACUAAAGACCGUACCGAAGCAUGUUUUCAUAAUGGGUCAUCGGCUUUGACUAGCUGUGACCUUUCGUUAGAAAGAGUGUCCAUAUCUGCGGUCAAGAGGUUGGUUUGGAAAUUAAAUUUCAUCUUUAUAUAUAUANGGUAGUGCACUGCAUAGCUAUCAAACGAACACUGAAAUGUCACCAGAAAAAACCGCACGCGUUUUUUGACACCGUUUCCAUCUUUUGAAACGUUUGUCGGAAUAAGGCAUAUAAUAUACAGUUGGAUUGCUACAGAAAAUUCCUAACUUUGACAUGUUGAACACUUUUCGCGAUUCCUCGCGGUUUAAGUGCAGUUUCGAAAACAGUGGGCGCAUAACGGGUUGGAGUGAGGACAUUUUCACGAUUUUUUUGUAAAACGCUCGUCUAUUGGGCUCGGAUUCGUUAACGGCAGCUACUUACACCCACGCAGUGGAUUGCAUGGCAACAUCGACGUGCAGCCGUUGACCACCACAUCUUGCCCAAAGGCUAUCCACCAUGCCUCGAGGUGGCAGGAGGCUGGGGUCCUGCACGGCCAUCAUGUCAUCAGGGGAGGGGAUCCAUGGCCCAGCCGCCGUGGCAGUUGGGGGCUACGGCGGGGUGGUGUAGGAGCCCCGGGGAACCGAUGAGGUGCGGCGCCGAGAGAGCCGCGUGGUCGCCGAAGUCAGUAGUAUCCAGAUCCGUAGUGCGUGGAGGGGAUGGUGACCUGUUGAUCUUGUCGUCGUUGCGACAGAGUGGAAGUUAGUGGAGGCGGGGCGGCCUCAUGCAAGGGAAUUAGAGGAGUGAUACGUCUUCAACGUAUCUAUAAUUUUUGAUUGUUCCAUGCUAUUAUAUUAACUGUUUUGGAUCUUUUAUAUGCAUUAAUAUGUUAUUUUAUAUUAUUUUUGGGACUAAACUAUUAACCUAGAGCCUAGAGCUAGUUUCUCUUUUUCCCCAUGUUUUUGAGUAUUGCAGAUAAGGAAUAUUAAACGAAGUCCAAACGGAAUAAAAUCUAUUGAACGAUUUUUCUUGGACCAGAAGAAACCUGCCAGACUUGGAGAAGGGGGCAGGAGACCUGCCGGGAGACGACAAGCCUGUAGGGCGUGCCCCCCCUGUAGGCCUCCUAACCCUAAUAUUCUUCCUAUAAAUUCCCAAAUAUUCCCCCAAUACUAGAACGACACCAAAAAAUACUUUCCCACCGCCGAGAGCCUCUGUUCACGUGAGAUCUAAUUUGGGAGCCUUUUCCGGUAAUCUGUCGGAGGGGGAAUCGAUCAGGGAGAGCAUCUACGUCCACUCCAUUGCCUCUUUGAUGAUGCGUGAGUAGUUCACCACAGACCUACUGGUCCAUAGCUACUAGCAAGAUGGCUUCUUCUCUUUCUUUGUUCUUCAAUACAAUGUUCUUCAUGAUCUUCAUGGAGAUCUAUCUGAUGUAAUACUCUUUUGCAGUGUGUUUGUCGAGAUAUGAUGAAUUGCGGGUUUAUGUUCAGAUUAUAUAUGAAUAUUAUUUGAAUCUUUUCCGAAUUCUUAUAUGCAUGGUUUCAUAUCUUAGCAAGUCUCUUCAAUUUAUUCGUUUGGUUUGGCCAACUAGAUUGGUAAUUCUUGCAAUGGGAGAAGUGCUUAGUUUUGGGUUCAAUCUUGCGGUGUCCUCACCCAGUGACAAAGUAGGGGUAGCGAGGCACGUAUUGCAUUGUUUGCAUCGAGGAUAAAAAGAUGGGAUUUUCAUCAUAUUGCUUGAGUUUAUUCCUCUACAUCAUGUCAUCUUACCUAAUGCGUUACUCUAUUCUUCAUGAACUUAAUACUCUAUAUGAAAGCAUGAGUCGGUCGAUGUGUGGAGUAAUAGUGGUAGAUGCAGAAUUGUUUUGGUCUACUUGACACGGACAUGAUGCCUAUAUGCAUAAUCAUUGCCUUGGAUAUCUUCAUAAUUAUUUGCUUUUCUAUCAAUUGCUCGACAGUAAUUUGUUCACCCAUCGUAUUAUUUUCCUUCAUGAUAGAAGCCUCUAGUGAAACCUAUGGCCCCGGGGUCUAUUUUCCAUAUUAUACUUUCAGAUCUAUAAAUCAAAAAUACCAAAAAUACAUUGCUCCUAUUUAUUUACUGUUGUUUCACUUUUAGUGCUAGCUAUCUUUUAUAUCUAUCUCUAUCAGAUCUCAUCCUUGCAAAUAACCAUGAAUGGAUUGACAACCCCUUUUUAGCGUUGGGUGCAAGUGUUUGCCUGUUUGUGUAGGUGCUAAGAUUGGGGCCUUGCUUGUUCCUCCUACUGGAUUUAUACCUUGGUUCUCAACAAACUGAGGGAAAUACUUAUCUACUUUGCUGCAUCACCCUUUCCUCUUCAAGGGAAAACCAACGCAAGUUGAAGAAGUAGCAAGAAGCAUUUCUGGCGCCGUUGCCGGGGAGGAUACAUAGCAAGAUCAAGCCUACCAAAUACUCAUCACAAACUCAUCUCUUGCAUUUACAUUAUUUGCCACCCGUUUUCCUUCCCCCACUUCACCAAUUUUCCGUUUUAUUCGCCUUUUUUUCACCGGAUCUCUUUUUCUCUUCUUGUGUUACCAUAUGCCUUCUAUUUUCUUGCAUCUUUGCUUGCUAAAAGUCUAUUGAUAUGGAUCCUCAUACACUUGCUAAUCUUUUCAAGAGAUCCAAUUAUGAUGAACCAAUUGCUAGUCAGUUAAGUGUAGUUGUUUAUAUCCAUGAAGUUUUGCUUGAGAUUCGUGAAUCUGAAAAUUCUGAUGAAGUGAUUCACGAUGUUUCCUUGAAUGAAAAGUUUGAUUGCAUCAUUUUGUUAUAAAUUCUAUUAAUACCAUUUGUGCUAAUGAUAUGCAAACCCACAAGCUUGGGGAUGCUAUAUUUGAUGAGUUUGCCAUGAACACUACUUAUUGCAAUGAUUAUGAUUGGGGUAAUAAUGCUUCUUAUGAUCUUGAUAAUUUAUUUAAUACUCUUGAUGAAUAUGAUAUCGAAAGUGGGUUUGGAAGAGUAUUAACUUUAGUUAAAAACAAUCCCACAUAUUUGGAGAGUGUUCAGUCUUAUGAUUUUUUUGAUAAAAGUGGGUUUGGAGAGGUCAUGACGUUAGUUAAUGUUAAUCCCACUACCUUGGAAGAUUGUAAGACUUUUAUACAUGUGGAUCAUGAAAAUAAUGCUUUAUGUGAUAGUUAUAUAGUUGAAUUUAUUCAUGAUGCUACUGAAAAUUACUAUGAGAGAGGAACAUAUGCUUUUACAUAUUGCAAUAAUAUCAAGUUUCUUCUCUAUGUGUUGGAAAUUUUGAAGUUAUACUUGUUUUCCCUUCCUAUGUUAAUUGAUUCUUGUUCCCAUAAUUUGUUUGCUCACAAAAUACCUAUGCAUAGGAAGUGGUUUACACUUAAAUAUGCUUGCCAUGUGAUUCAUGAUGCUCUAUUUAUGUUUUAGUUCUUUACCUUUAUGCGAGCAUCAUUGAAAUCAUUGUGCCUAGCUAGGGGCGUUAAACAAUAACGCUUGUUGGGAGGCAACCCAAUUUUAUUUUUAUGCUUUUGUUUUGUGCUUCUAUUUUUGAGUCCUUCGCACAUUAUUACCUGUGUAAUAAUUGUCUUUUCUUGUUUUAAUUAGUGAUUGAGCCAAGUAAUACCUUUGGAAUGGUCUACGGUGCUUGCAAGUUGAUUUUGCUGAAAAACAGAAACUUUCGCUCUCAGUCCAGGAAUUUUAUCAAUUCACUGGAACAUGAUUUUGGUAUGACUUUUUACACAAGAUUUAUAUACAAAUUUCCCUGAUUCUCCUAAUUUUUCAGAAUUUUUGAAGUUACAGAAGUAUUUGAAGUUUAUAGAUUGCUACAGGUUGUUCUGUUUUUGACAGAUUCUGUGUUCUUUGUGUUGUUUACUUAUUUUGAUGAAUCUAUGAGUUGUAUCAAGGCGUAUGAACCAUGGAGAAGUUGGAAUAUAGUAAAUAUUGCAAUAAUAUAAAUAAAAAUUGAGUUCACAACAGUACCUAAAGUGGUGAUUUAUUUUGUGUUGUGAAGUUUUCAAGUUUUGGGUAAAGAUUUGAUGGACUAUGGAAUAAGGAGUGGCAAGAGCCUAAGCUUGGGGAUGCCCAAGGCACCCCAAGCCAUAUUCAAGGAUACCAAAGAGCCUAAGAUUGGGGAUUCCCCGGAAGGCAUCCCCUCUUUCGUCUUCAAUCCAUCGGUAAAUUUACUUGAGGCUAUAUUUUUAUUCACCAGAUGAUAUGUGUUUUUCUUGGACCGUCUUGUAUGAUACAAAUCUUUACUUUUUAGUUUUCCACAAUCAUCCUUGAUUCACACAUCUUUUGAGAGAUACAUGCUGAAUCGUGAAUUUAUUAGAAUACUCUGUGUGCUUCACUUAUAUCUUUUGAGCUAGGCAAUGUUGCUCUAGUGCUUCACUUAUAUCUUUUAGAGCACGGUGGUGUAUUAUUUUAUAAAUAUGAUUAAACUCUCAUACCUCACUCAUAUUAUUUUGGGAGUAUUUUAUACAGCAUGGUAAUUGUUGGAAAUAUGCCCUAGAGGCAAUAACAAAUUGGUUAUUAUUAUAUUUCCUUGUUCAUGAUAAUCGUUUAUUAUCCAUGCGAGAAUUGUAUUGAUUGGAAACUCAAAUACAUGUGUGGAUACAUAGACAACACACUGUCCCAAGUGAGCCUCUAGUUGACUAGCUCGUUGAUCAAAGAUGAUCAAGGUUUCCUGGCCAUAGGCAAGUGUUGUCACUUGAUAACGGGAUCACAUCGUUAAAAGAAUGAUGUGAUGGACAAGACCCAAACUAUAAACGUAGCAUAUGAUCGUGUCAGUUUAUUCCUACUGUUUUUCUGCAUGUCAAUGUAUCAAUUCCUAUCACCAUGAGAUCAUACAACUCCCGGACACUGGAGAAAUACCUUGUGUGUAUCAAACGUUGCAACGUUACUGGGUGACUAUAAAGGUGCUCUACAUGUAUCUCCAAAGGUGUCUGUUGGGUUGGCAUGGAUCAAGACUGGGAUUUUUCACUCCAUGUGACGGAGAGGUAUCUCGGGGCCCACUCGGUAAUACAACAUCACAAAAAGCCUUGCAAGCAAUGUGACUAAGGAGUUAGUUAUGGUAUCUUGUACUAUGGAACAAGUAAAGAGACUUGCCCGUAACGAGAUUGAACUAGGUAUGGAGAUACCGACGAUCGAAUCUCGGGCAAGUAACAUACCGAAGGACAAAGGGAACAACAUACAUGAUUAACUGAAUCCUUGACAUAGAGGUUCAACCGAUAGAAAACUUUCUAGAAUAUGUAGGAGACAAUAUGGACAUCUAGGUCCCGCUAUUGGUAUUGACCGGAGAAUGUCUCAGGUCAUGUCUCCAUAGUUCUCGAACCCGCAGGGUGUGCACACUUAAGGUUCGGUGACGUUUCGGUAUAGUUGAGUUAUAGUUGUUGGUAACCGAAAGUUGUUCGGAGUUGCGAAUGAGAUCCCGGACGUCACGAGGAGCUCCAGAAUGGUCUGGAGGUAAAAAUGAUAUGUAGGAAGUCCUGUUUCGGUCACCGGACAAGUUUCGGGCUCAUCGGUAGUGUAGCGGGAGUGUCGGGAGGGCACCGGGGACCAUCGGGAGGGGUGUCACGCCCCGAGGGGCCUUAUGGGCUAUGGGAGGACACAAACCGGCCCCUAGUGAGCUGACAUAAGCUCCCACUAAUGUCCAUGAGGUUUGCGAGGCAAAAACCCAAAGGUGGAAAAGGUGGAAAGGGUUUCCAAGUGGAAAGGAGGAAUCCUACGUAGGAUUGGAGUAGGACUCCUCCACCUCCAAUUUCGUCAAAACCUUGAGGGUUUGAGGCUGCCUCCUCCCCUCCCUCCCUCUUAUAUAUAGUAGAGGUAUUGAGGGUUUUUGAGAUACACAUGUUCAACCACGUGCUACCCUCUCCUCUAGUUUGUAGUUCUUCCUCUAGAUCAGAUUUAUGCGGUGCUUAGGCGAAGCCCAGCAGGAAUAGAUCACUACCAUCACUGGCGCGCCAUCACGCUGCCAGAGAACUCAUCUACUUCCCCGUAUCUCUUGCUGGAUCGAGAAGGUGGGGGUCAUCAUCGAGCUGUACGUGUGCUAAACGCGGAGGUGCCAUCCGUUCGGCACUAGAUCGGGAUGGAUCGUGAUGGCAUCGCGGGACGGAUCGUGAUGAGAUCGCGGGACGGGCUGCGAUUUGAAUCGCAAAGAUGUUACACUACAUCAACCGCAUUAUAUACUCUUCCUCUUAACGAUCUACAAGGGUAUGUAGAUUCACUCUUCCCUCUCGUAGAUGAAGCGGCCCGAACAGACCUUACUCGUAUGCUUACGAGAGACCGGUUUCAUCGACCAAAAUGCAACUUGUUGCAUCAAGAUGACUGUAGGGUGUCUGUUUCUUCAACUUUAGUUGAAUCGGAUUUGACCGAGGCGGUCCUUGGAGAAGGUUAAAUAGCAAAUUACAUAUCACCAUUGUGGCUUUGCAUAAGUAAGAUGUGAUCAUACUAGAUACACAUAGCAGCCAUGUAAAACAUGCAACAACAAAUUAGAGGAUGAUAGGUCUCCAACAUAUCUAUAAUUUUUUAUGGUUUCAUGCUAUUAUCUUGUCUAACUUUGGAUGAUUUGUAUGCCUUUUAUAUCUUUUUGGGACUAACUUAUUAACUCAGUGCCAAGUGCCAGUUCCUGUUUUUUCCCGUGUUUUUGACCCCUUUCAGAGGAGGAUUUUAAACGGAGUCCAAACGGAACGAAACUUCCAAAAAGAUUUUUUCCGAAACAGAAGACGAUCGGGAGACUUGAGAACCAAGGCAGAGGGCCACCUCUGCCCUAGGUCUUUCGCCUAUAUAUUCCCAAUAAUUCCAGAAAAAAUUAGGAGAUCAUCAAAAUUACUUUUCCGCCUCCGCAAGCUUCUGUCUCCGCAAGAUCCCAUCUGGGGCACAUUCUGGUGCCCUGCCAGAGGGGGGAUUCAUGUAUGGAGGGCUUCUUAAUCAAGACCAUGACCUCUUCGAUGAUGCGUGAGUCGUUCACCAUAGACCUACGGGUCCAUAGCUAGUAGCUAGAUGGCUUCUUCUCUCUCUUGGAUCAUCAAUACAAAGUUCUCCAUGGUCUUCAUGGAGAUCUAUCCGAUGUAAUCUUCUUUGCGGUGUGUUUGCCGAGAUCCGAUGAAUUGUGGAUUUAUGAUCAGAUUAUCUAUGAAUCUUAUUUGAGUUUCUUCUGAUCUCUCUUAUGCAUGAUUUCAUAUCCUUGUAAUUCUCUUCGAGUUGUGGGUUUUGUUUGGCCAGCUUGAUCUAUGAUUCUUGCAAUGGGAUAAGUGCUUGGUUUUGGGUUCAUACUGUGCGGUGACCUCACCCAGUGACAGAAGGGGUAGCGAGGCACGCAUCGUGUUGUUGCCAUCAAGGGUAAAAAUAUGGGGUUUUCAUCAUUGGUUUGAGUUUAUCCCUCUACAUCAUGUCAUCUUGCUUAAGGCGUUACUCUAUUCGUCAUGAACUCAAUACACUAGAUGCAUGCUGGAUAGCGGUCGAUGUGUGAAGUAAUAGUAGUAGAUCCAUAAAGUAUCGGUCUACUUGUCUCGGACGUGAUGCCUAUAUGUAUGAUCAUUGCCUUAGAUAUCGUCAUGACUUUGCGCGGUUCUAUCAAUUGGUCGAUAGUAAUUUGUUCACCCACCGUAAUAUUUGCUAUUUUGAGAGAAGCCUCUAGUGAACACUAUGGCCCCCGGGUCUACUUUACACCAUAUUUUCAGCCUUACUCUUUUACUUCGUUUCACUUUUCGCUUUCAGAUCUCACUUUGCAAUCAAUCUUGAAGGGAUUGACAACCCCUUUAUAGCAUUGGGUGCAAGCUCUUUUGUGUUUGCGCAGGUACUCUGGACUUGAUGAGAUUCUCCUACUGGAUUGAUACCUUGGUUCUCAGACUAAGGGAAAUACUGACUGCUCCUGUGCUGCAUCACCCUUUCCUCUUCGAGGGAAAAACCAACGCAAGCAAGUCUCCGUCAACGUGUCAAUUUCUGACGCCAUUGUUUGAGAAGUAGCAAAAGGAUUUCUCGCGCCGUUGUCGGGGAGGAUCAAGUCAAGAUCAUCCAAGUAAGUGUCACGAACACAUCUCUUGCAUUUACUUUUGUUUUGCCUCUCGUUUUCCUCUCCCCCACUUCUGAAAAAAAAUUACAAAAAUAUUUGCCUUUUUCGUUUGCCUUUUUCGUUCGCCCUUUUCUCUCGCUUGCUUUCUGUUCGUUUGUGUGGGAUAGUCUAUCUGUCCUCACGGCUAGAUCCACCACUUCGAACGAUACUCCCGAGAACGAAGUUCUCAAUUUCAAACAAAUUGAGGAAGAAAACUUAAAGGACGCUUGGUAUAGGAUUUGCAAUGCUCAGAGUAGAUCUACUCAUAAGCAAUCCACUACCGUCCUGCUUUGCAGUUUUUAUGUGGGUAUUUCUCCUUGGAAUAGGUAUAUUCUUGACACCAUCGUAGGCGGAAAUUUCUUGGGUAGCCAUACCGUUGAUUCUUACGGAGCUGUAAUAAAUUUGGUAGGCUCAUCCCCACUCAUGGUUAAUGGAACUACCUUAACUCUGGAACAUGUGAUGCGUAGGCUGGAUGUCAUUGAAAAUAAAGUUGCUAUGAUCGAACUUAUUGAGAAUUUGGAUUCAAAGAUCCACAAUCAAAUCACUCAGUACGGAUCCAAUGUGGGAAUGGUUUUGAAAAAUUUAAAGGAGAAGGAACCCACAGUUAACGAAAAAUUAGGUCAUGACUCCGCUAGGAUUGGCAAACUAGAGGAUGUUAUAACCAACUUGGGUUCCGCUUUUGCCGCUAUGCAGAAUACUCCAAAUUUUGCCCACAAUAAGGCCACCAAGUCUGUUCUUGUUCCCAAAAAUAGUGGUGAAUCAUCUAGUAAAAAAAUGAAGACCUUAAGAUGAUGAGUGAUCACGCUACUUAUGGUUUGAGCACCAAAGACGACGAUACGUGAUUCUAUCGCCUUAUGCCUAGCUAAGGGCGUUAAACAAUAGCGCUUGUUGGGAGGCAACCCAAUGAAUUUAUCUUUUUUCAUUCUAUUUUGUUGCGUCCACGCCAUCAUAAUUCUUUUAUUAUAGUGCCUUUUGUGUUUCUUUUUGUGUUUGAGCCAAGCAAAAUCUUUAUGACUAGUCUUGGUGAUGGUUGUUUGAUCCUGCUGGAAAGAGACAGAAAUUGGUCGCUCACAAGAUUAUUUUUCAUUUUUAUUCAGAAAGAGCUUUUGAGUUGAUUCGUUCUACUGCUGGUUGAUAUGCCUUUUUCCCAGGCAGUCAUAAUUUUGCAGAAUUUUUGAGGUACCAGAAGUAUAGGAAGUAUACAUAUUGCUACAGACUGAUCUGUUUUUGAUAGAUUCUGUUUUUGUUGAGUUGGUUGCUUGUUUUGAUGAAACUAUGGAUAGUAUCGGGGGGUACUUGCCCUGGAAAAGUGAGAAUACAGUAAUCUAACAACAAUAUAAAUAGAAAUCAAGAUUUCUACAGUACCUAAAGAGGUGGCAGUUUGUUUUCUUGUGCUAAUGAUAUCCCCCCCCCCCCUUUUUAUGUUUUGUGUUGUGAAGUUUUCAAGUUUUGGGUGAUGUUCUCAUGGACAAAGAGAUAAUGAGUGGAAAGAGCUCGCGCUUCGGGAUGCCCAAGGCAUCCCAAGCCAAAUUCAGAGUACACCAAAAAGCCUAAGAUUGGGGAUGCCCCGGGAAGGCAUCCCCUCUUUCGUCUUCAAUCCAUCGGUAACAUUACUUGGAGCUAUAUUUUUAUUCACCACAUGAUAUGUGUUUUGCUUGGAACGUCUUGUAUCGUAGGAGUCUUUUCUUUUUCUUGUGUCACAAUCAUACUUGCUGCACACCUUUUGAGAUAGACAUGCAUUCAUCGUGAUUUUGCUAGAAUGCUCAUCGUGCUUCACUUAUAUCUUUUGAGCUAGAUAAUUUUGCUUUAUGUGCUUCACUUAGAUCUUUUAGAGCACGGCGGUGCGUGACUUGGUAGUUGGCUUGUGCUAUAAAAGUAGUCCCAAAGGUGAUAGGUACCCAAAGAGGAUACAAAAUCCUUCAUCUUCAUGUGCAUUUAGUAGAAAGAGAAGUUAUGAUUCCUCUCAAUUAGUUUCGAGACGUGCAUUUGGUAAUAUUAAGAGUUAUGUUAGUAGGGUGUUGUGAAUCUAGAAAUACUUGUGUUGAAGUUAGUAAUUCCCGUAGCAUGCGCGUAUGGUGAACCGCUAUGUUAGGAAGUCAGAGCAUAAUUGAUCUAUUGAUUGUCAUCCUUUGUGUUGCGGUCGGGAUCACGCGAUGGUUAACACCUACCAACCCUUCCCCUAGGAGUAUGCGUUUAGCACUUUGUUUCGAUUACUAAUAAAAACUUUCGCAACAAGUAUGUGAGUUCUUCUUGACUAAUGUGAGUCCAUGGUAUGGAUGCACUUUCACCUUCCACCAUUGUUAGCUUCUCUAGUACCACGCAAUUUUCAGUGGUGCACAAACCCACCAUAUGCCUUCCUCAAAACAGCCACCAUACCUACCUACUAUGGCAUUUUCAUAGCCAUUCCGAGAUAUAUUGUCAUGCAAAUCCCACCGUUCCGUCUCAUGACUUGUGCCGUCACUCUCAUAUUGCCAUUUCAUGAUCGUAGGAUAGCUAGCGAGAUGUUUCAACGUCAUACGCCAAGCUAGAUCGUUGCACAUCCCGGAACACUGCCGGAGGCAUUUCCUAUAGAGUCAUCAUCGUUCUGACCUUUGAGCUGUGAGUAAAUAAAAGUGUGAUGAUCAUCAUUAUUAGAGCAUUGUCCCAUGUGAGGAAAAAAAGAGGCCAAAGAGCCAAAAAAGAGAAAAAAGAGGCCCAAGAGCCCAAACAAAAAAAGGGAGAGAAAAAGAGAGAAGGGACAAUGCUACUAUAUUUUUCCACACUUGUGCUUCAUAAUAGUACCAUGUUCUUCUUGAUUGAGAGCUUCUUGCUUUGGCACCACCAUAUACUAGUGGGAAUCUUUAUUAUAUACCUUGGCUUGUAUAUUCCAACGAUGGGCUUCCUCAAAAUUGCCCUAGGUCUUCGUAAGCAAGCAAGUUGGAUGCACACCCAAUAGUUCUCCUUUUGAGCUUUCACAUACUUAUAGCUCUAGUGCAUCCUUUGUAUGGCAAUCCCUACUCAUUCACAUUGAUAUCUAUUAUUGGGCAUCUCCAUAGCCCUUUGAUACGCCGAGUCAAUGUGACCAUCUCCUCCUUUUUUGUCUCACAACCACCACCACACUUUAUUCCACCUACAGUGCUAUAUCCAUGGCUCACGCUCGUGUAUUGCGUGAUAGUUAUAAAUAGUUUGAGAAAGUAAGAGUGCGAAAACAAUUACUUGGCUAAUACCGGAGUUGUGCAUGAUUUAAAUUAGUUGUGUGGGGAUGAUGGAGCAUAGCGAGACUAUAUGAUUUUGUAGGGAUAACUUUCCUUGGCCUUGUCAUUUUGAAAGUUCAUGAUUACCUUGCUAGUUUGCUUGAAGUAUUAUUGUUUUCAUGUCAAUAGCAAACUAUUGUUUUGAAUCUUACGGAUCUGAAUAUUUAUGUCACAUGAAAUAAGUUACAAAGGACAACUAUGCUAGGUAGCCUUCCAUAUCAAAAAUCCAGUCUUUAUCACUUUCCUACUCGAGGACGAGCAUGCGUUAAGCUUGGGGAUGCUUGAUACGUCUCCAACGUAUGUAUAAUUUUUGAUGGUUUCAUGCUAUUAUCUUGUCAAACUUUUGAUGCUUUGUAUGCCUUUUAUAUCUUUUUGGGACUAACUUAUUAACUCAGUGCCAAGUGCCAGUUCCUGUUUUUCCCGUGUUUUUUGCCCCUUUCAGAAGAGGAUUUUAAACAGAUCCAAACGGAACGAAACUUCCAAAAAGAUUUUUUUCCGAAACAGAAGACGAUCGGGAGUCUUGGGAACCAAGGCAGAGGGUCACCAGGGACCCCACAAGCCCUCAUGGUGCGGCCAGGGGGCCCGCGCUUCCCAGGCUUGUGGGCUCCCUGGGCCACCUUUGCCCUAGGUCUUUCGCCUAUAUAUUCCCAAUAAUUCCAGAAUAAUCAUGAGUUCAUCGAAAGUACUUUUCCGCCACCACAAGCUUAUGUCUCUGCAAGAUCCCAUCUGGGGCACGUUCUGGUGCCGUGCCGGAGGGGGGAUUUGGAUACGGAGGGCUUCUUCAUCAACACCAUCACCUCUCCGAUCAUGCGUGAGUAGUUCACCAUAGACCUACGGGUCAAUAGCUAGUAGCUAGAUGGUUUCUUCUCUCUCUUGGAUCUUCAAUACAAAGUUCUCCAUGAUCUUCAUGGAGAUCUAUCCGAUGUAAUCUUAUUUGCGGUGUGUUUGUCGAGAUCUGAUGAAUUGUGGAUUUCUGAUCAAAUUAUCUAUGAAUCUUAUUUGAAUUUCUUCUGAUCUCUCUUAUGCAUGAUUUCAUAUCCUUGUAAUUCUCUUUGAGUUGUGGGUUUUGUUUGGCCAACUUGAUCUAUGAUUCUUGCAAUGGGAGAAGUGCUUGGUUUUGGGUUCAUGCCGUGCGGUGACCUCACCCAGUGACAGAAGGGCUAGCGAGGCACACAUCGUGUUGUUGACAUCAAGGGUAAAAAGAUGGGGUAUUCAUCAUUGGUUUGAGUUUAUCCCUCUACAUCAUGUCAUCUUGCUUAAGGCGUUACUCUAUUCGUCAUGAACUCAAUACACUAGAUGCAUGCUGGAUAGCGGUUGAUGUGUGGUGUAAUAGUAGUAGGUGCAGAAAGUAUCGGUCUACUUGUCUCGGACGUGAUGCCUAUAUGUAUGAUCAUUGCCUUAGAUAUCGUCAUGACUUUGCGCGGUUCUAUCAAUUGCUCGAUAGUAAUUUGUUCACCCACCGUAAUAUUUGCUAUUUUGAAAGAAGCCUCUAGUGAACACUAUGGCCCCCGGGUCUACUUUACACCAUAUUUUCAGCCUUACUCUUUUACUUCGUUUCACUUUUCUCCUUCAGAUCUCACUUUGCAAUCAAUCUUGAAGGGAUUGAUAACCCCUUUAUAGCGUUGGGUGCAAGCUCUUUUGUGUUUGCGCAGGUACUCUGGACUUGACGAGAUUGUCCUACUGGAUUGAUACCUUGGUUCUCAAACUGAGGGAAAUACUUACUGCUCAUGUGCUGCAUGACCCUUUCCUCUUCAAGGGAAAAACGAACGAAAGAAAGUCUCCGUCAACGUGUCAAUUUCUGACGCUGUUGUUUGAGAAGUAGCAGAGGACGUCUAACUUGUUUUUGUAGGGUAUGCCUGUGAUGUGAUAUGGUCAAAGACAUAAUAUGAUAUAUUGGAUGUAUGAGAUGAUCAUGUUGUAAUAGUUAAAUAUCGACUUGCACGUCGAUGCUACGGCAACCGGCACGAGCCAGAGGGUUAUCUUUAAACUAACGUUUGUGCUUGCAGAUGCGUUUACUAUAUUGCUAGGUAGUAGCUUUAGUAGUAAUAGUAUAGAUAGCACGACAACCUCGAUGGCGGCACAAUGAUGGAGAUCAUGAUGAUCGAGAUCAUGGUGUGGCGCCGGUGACGAUGAAGAUCAUACCGGUGCUUUGGUGAUGGAGAUCAAGAAGCACAAGAUCAUGGCCAUAUCAUGUCACUUAUGAUUUGCAUGUGAUGUUAAUCCUUUUAUACACCUUAUUUUGCUUAGAACGACGGUAGAAUUAUAAGGUGAUCCCUCACUAAAAUUUCAAGAUAAAAUUGUGUUCUCCCCGACUGUGCACCAUUGCGACAGUUCGUCGUUUCGAGACACCACGUGAUGAUCGGGUGUGAUAGACUCAACGUUCACAUACAACGGGUGCAAAACAGUUGCACACGCGGAACACUCGGGUUAAACUUGGGCCCACUGACAGCGAGAGAUUAAGCUCCUAAUCUACUGGAUUAGCUUCGCCACGUCGGCCCCCACCGGAGCAUGGCCGGCGGCGACCACGGGCGCGGCGGAGGGCUCGCCGGAGAGGGCUAGACAGCGCAUCGGCCGUCGGUUUUGGGCGCAGAAAGGAGCUACGGGACGCUGGUGCNNNNNNNNNNNNNNNNNNNNNNNNNNNNNNNNNNNNNNNNNNNNNNNNNNNNNNNNNNNNNNNNNNNNNNNNNNNNNNNNNNNNNNNNNNNNNNNNNNNNCCCCAACGCCAUCGUCUUCCACCUCCGGCCGCCGGACCUCUCCCGUCGAUUCGCUCCCUCCGGCGCACCCCCGAGCCCCUCAACAACACCAUCGGAACCGCCGUGAGCUCGUCGUCGUUUCCCCUCUCGCCCCACGCUCUUUCGUGCAUCGUAGCCCCGUUCCCCACCAAGGCCGAGAGCUCCUCGCCGCCGGUCAUGUCGUCGCCGUUGCUGCGGUGUCUGAUCCACGCGCUCGAGCUAGGGAUCGAGCUCCUGGAGCCUCCAGGAGUGUGAUGAGCCCAUCAGCUAUCCUCCCCGUGCCCUAGAGCCCUCAACUGCGGGAGGCCGAGCUUCGGCCGCCGCUUCGGCUCGUCGCCGGCGCCUCUCCCAGUGACCCUAGCCUCCCCUGAUGCCCCCGCUAGAUGCGACGUUGCACCAGCGUCCCGUAGCUCCUUUCUGCGCCCAAAACCGACGGCCGAUGCGCUGUCUAGCCCUCUCCGGCAAGCCCUCCGCCGUGCCCGUGGUCGCCGCCGGCCAUGCUCCGGUGGGGGCCGACGUGGCAAAGCUAAUCUAGUAGAUUAGGAGCUUAAUCUCUCGCUGUCAGUGGGCCCAAGGCCAAGUCAACUCAGUUUAGGGGCUCGUCAGCACGGGAUUAGUCUCAAAGAGGCUGACCAGUGGGUCCCCCCUGUCAGGUUUGACCUGAACAGGUCGGCUGACCUGCUGACGUCAGUCUGAUGCAAUAAAGGGAAUUUCCAGUAUAGAAAUAGAUCCAGGAAAUUGCUAGAACUUGUAAAAAUCAUAGAAAUUAAUCUGUAACUCCAAUGAAAAUAAUUUAUAUAUGAAAAAGUAUCAGAAAAAUUCAAGGAAUCUGAAUAUGCUAUUUUCAAUCAUGCUUGAAAAAGUUACAGAACCCUAACAUGUAGAAUAAGGAAUAAUUCAAUUCUUAUAAUUACUUUUUAAAUGGAAUUUGGAAAAUAUUCAAAUUUCAUUAUGAAUGCCAUGAUCACAUAUUGUCCUAAUUACAAAUCAGUACAUUAACAUGACAUCUCAUGCAUGCUAACAUCAAGUUGAUCUGAGCAUCAGGUCGAAUCAAUUAAACCGGUAUCCGAGAAUACCCCGUUUGAAUUGAUAUUCGAAUGUGAUUCAAAUCAAGUCUAAACCUAAUACAUGUUGAUUAUAAUAACUUGUCACCUUGCAUUCUCAUGCCAUGCUCAUGCAUCAUCUUGUUUGCAUAUGAUUGUUAUUGAUUGUUGCCAUUCAUUUCGGUAGGCUCCACACCCCCGGAUUCCAGCGAAUAUCCGUCUGACGGAUAUCGUUCCUCCUCUGAGCAACAAGGCAAGCAACCCUUUUGAUCAUCCCGAUAAAUCCCAUGUUCUUGCUCCUGCACCUAUUUAUUGCAUUAAGAUCAAAUGCUUCAACUGCUUUUGCCACGAUAGUUGAACCCACUUCCUUUGCAUGACCUAACCUUGUCACAGUAAAUAGCCGAACCUUGCAACCUAGCAUACCUGGUAGUUGAUUGAGUUGUGAUGUGCCUUAUCCUGCUAUGCAUCUAUGCUUAGAGUUGUGUAUGGUCUGUCAUCUAGGAGAUGAACAAAAUUGUGAGAAUGUGUUCGGUAAGUAAAGGUUGUGUGUUGAACCUGAUUUGGUAAAGGUACCGGUGAAAGGCUGUGUAGGAGUACAUGGCGGGUUGUUUCAUUGGAGCCGUCCUUAGGAACUGAGUUCCGUGUAUGUAAUCCAAGACUAGAUACUACCACAUGCUGGGCCCUGAAAUAUGACCCCGCUCGGCCUAUUAAUCGCGUAGUACUCGGUCCAGGAGAUGCAAGUAGUUUCUGGUGUUUAUAGUAAUGCUGGAGGCCGUGCAUGGUGCUAACCUGAGAGGUGGGCCGUGAUGCGGUAGGCAGUGGCACGGUGUACCAAGUGGCACCCGGAUGGUGGGCUUGGGAACCCUGCGCACAUCGUUUGAGGCCGUGGCGGAAACCUCGGCCGGACUUCCGUACGGGUUACUCUCAUAUAGGCGAUAAACCUGGACUAGGUACUAGUGUGUUUAACGGUCGUGGCCGACUCCCUCGCUGGGCUUCCGCUUGAAGGUUGCCGAGGUGCAUGACGUGCACAUGGAGAUAAGUGGCAAUAGCGUGUGUGACGAAGUACACCCCUGCAGGGUUAUGAUCUAUUCGAAUAGCCGCGUCCGCGGAUAUUGACUACUUGGAGACAUAUGUUGUUCAUAAUAACUUAAAUGGCUACUCAUAAAAUUGCCAAGAUAAGCGUGAGUGUCGUGGAUGGCAUUUCCGUACGGAGACGGAAUGAUUCCACGAUAGUGUAUUGUUGUGGUGUUAGUGGACUCGUGUGCGAGAAAUCAAGUUGUCAAAAUUAUUUAAAAAUGCAAGUUGUCUAGCCACGAGUCAAAUGUUGGCUUUCCGCAUGAAACCCCACAAUACCUUUUGAUACCUUGCAUGAGUAGUUAGUUAUCCUAAAGUCUUGCUGAGUACCUUCGUACUCAUGUUGGUUUAAUAAAUGUUGCAGAGGUUGCUAAUGACCCUAAUGGAGGGUUCUUCGUAGACAUCGACGACGACGAGUAGCUGGUGUCCCAGCUACGAUCUGGCCCUACGUUGGUCUGUAGUAUAGUCAGGCCAUGUGCCUUCUAGUUACCCUGUCUGUACUCAGACAGUUUAAACUCUUCCGCUGGCUUGUAACUGAAUGACUCCUAUUAUGGGUCGUGAGACCCUUAAUGUGUAAUAUUAUGUGUGUGGCUCUUCCGAGCCUCUUAAAUAAAGCUUGUAUUUUUAUGGUUAUGUUGUGAUGCCAUCGAUGUAUCUAUACAUAUUGGUAUGCCAUGCGUACGUGUGUCAUGCUUGAUAUGUAUGGGGUUCGAUUACCUAGUCGUGAACUUUAGUAGCACUCCUUACAAGGAAAUUCCCCUUUGUGAUCCAACGAGCCUUGGUAGUUCGCUACUGCUCCGGACACAUUGGUUGACCGGCAUGUGUCGUUCUUAGCUGCUGUGUCUGUCCUCUUUGGGGAAAUGUCACGCGAAGUAAGGGAGUCCUUGUAGCUUGCUACGACUCGUCUACAUUCGCUGAUGACCGACACCUGCUUUGUUGGGUCAUGUAUGCCUGUCCUUGUGCGGUACUGCCACUUUGGUUUAUGACUUGACAUGUCGAUCCGGGUUCUUUGACAUUGGACUGCUAGCGACACUAUCGCAUACGUGAGUCAAAAGACGCAAACGGUCCCGGCUAAGGUAAGGCUGCAACCGUGGAGUUAACCGUGUGUGAGACCACAAAGGGAUGCGAUGUGUUACAGGCUGGAUUCCUAUGGCUUAGGAUCGGGGUCCCGACAGCGUUGGUAUCAGAGCCUGACUGACUGUAGGAUUACUAAGCCAAACUGGUCGAAGUUGAGUCUAGAAUUGCUUUAGUUAUAUAUAAGGGAAUUGUUUGUGGAAGGGAACGUAAGACUCUUGUUCUCUUCUCAAGUUAUUCUAUUCUGGUCAUCCUCGUCUUUUCUGCGGGAAUUAAGGGCUAGGUUACUCAUCUUCUCCUAGGCUCGUGUUUCUGAUCGAUGGCUUAUAGGACUACGGGUCAAGAGCUAUUGGGUUUCUUUUAUUCCUAGAAAGCAGGAAGUAAGUUUGAUGAUGAGAGAGUUGAACUUGAUAGUUGAGUGGUUACGCUAUUCCAUUUUGGGUUGUCUCAAAAUUUGUUUUUGAGCAAUUACAACCGUUAUGCUGCCCAAUUUUUCAUUCAGAGCUCUAAUGCUUUUGCAUUACUCUCUAAUUACAGAUGCCUGGCCGUCCUUCUCGUCAGGUGGUACGUCUGACCAGGUGCAUUGAUGUGUCGGGUCAUACGGCCAUGCUGGUCAGGGUGAUGUCGGUGUGCGGUUACCGUUGGUACCCCGAGUACACAGUGGAGGAACAGUACCGAGACUUCAACCAGAGCCAGUACAUCUGCACUGUUAGGGUAUUUCCAGACUACCCUGGAGCUGAGAAGCCAAUCCAUUGGUCCUAUGGGUUGGGGGUCACCGUUGACAUGGCAGUAGAGGAUGCUGCCUAUUCAAUGUUGACCAUUAUGAGAGCGAGACAUGCACUGCUGCAGAAUUCAGAGUUCUGCUAUGUUCCGGCCUCUCAGCCUGGUGAAGAGGGACACCUCAGUGGAGUCUAUUUCGAUUCUUCUAUGGAGGAUCCACUACUGCAGUCCACUGUUGAGAUGCUAGAGAACAGAGACAGGGAUGCUCGUGCUCUCCGUAUGGAACUUUAUGCUACCCGUACCCGUCUGUGGACGGAUUUGACGCAGCUCGCACCGGUAGUCCAGACAGGGUAUGGAGAGAUGGAGAUGCUGAACCCUGUCAGGACCCAUCUUCCGGCUCACGUUGACUGGCCAGCUAUAGGAGGAGUCACACCUCUUCGGGGACCCCUCUUACCACCAGUCAGGGGACCAAGGCCACAUCCGUGUCCUUAUGGAUCCCAGGGAUCUCAGGCUAGAGUGUUCCCUGAUCCGCAGGUUGAGCUUCCAGGUCAUGGAGGUAAUCUCUAUGAGAUGUUCUAUGCGGAUGCCUGAGCUGUGAGCGGAAGGAUAGUAUGGUAGUAGCCGUACGUUCACAGUCCUGCGUGACUGGUGAAGUAUGUCGGUGAUGUGAAAUGAAUUCCGGAGGCCUAGAUAAAUAAUGUAUAGGAAGCUUGUAAGCCUCUGAUGAGUAGUUUCAUAAUUUCAGUAGUUUGCUCUUCGGUUAAGGUUGUACUGAACUAUGUAAGGGUGUGUAUGAACCAUGGUGUAUAUAUAGCAGUUGCUUGUUACCAUGCUGUUCGGAUAUUCAUUUCCGCAUUCCGUGUGUUCAGUACAUUCUUAAUCCAUAGCUAGUCUUGAUAUGAUGUUGGUCUAAGCUAUGAGUUUGUUUCUCAGGAUGGUGUUCACCAGGUUGAACCGUGCCCCUGCUCAUGAGCAAGGCGAGGGUAGUCAAGCGUCGCACGAAGACCUGCCUCACCCGCCUUCUCUGGUGGAAGUGAUGCUUGAGGCAGAGAGAAAUAAAAGAGAGACCAACCGACUGUUAGAGCGUAUUGAGCAGAAUACGUCUCGUUAGCCUAGGAAUGCUGCAGUGUCCCUUAAUGACUUUGUGAAGUUGAAUCCUCCAAAGUUUCAUCAUUCCGUCGAUCCCCUCGACGCUGAUGACUGGCUGUGCAGCAUCUCACGCAAGAUUCGCUCUGUGAAUGUGUCUGAGGCCGACAAGGUGACCUUUGCGGCAUAUUUCCUGGAAGGACCCGCCAAUCUGUGGUGGGAGAAUUUUGAAGCUAUGCGUCCCGCUGAACCAGUGGCCACAUGGGCAGACUUCAGUGUAGCUUUUCGUCUGCACCAUAUUCCAGAGGGCCUGAUGGACAAAAAGAGAGAGGAGUUCUGUGCCUUCACUCAGGGCAAGUUGUCUGUGGAUGCCUAUAGCCGCGAGUUCGGUAUUCUCGCCCGCUAUGCAACAGAGGAGGUGUCUACUGACGCCAAGAAGCAAGCAAGGUUUCAUAAGGGUCUGAGCCCUGAGCUCCGUCGUGAUCUGCGCCUCCAUGAGUGUGCAAGUUUUCAAGCCCUAGUCAACAAAGCGAUCAGUGCCGAGACUGGUCAUACUGACUUCGUAGCCACGAGGAAGCAUUCCCGUGACUUUGGCUCGUCUUCUGGUUCCGCGUUUCCAAAACGCAGGCUGUGGGUUCCAAACAGUUCUCUGCCACCAAGAUACACUCCGAGGCCAUCCUACGUGGCGCCUCAGACGAAUCAGGCCAACCCUCCAGCAAAAGCUUAUGGUGGUCCAGCUAGCAAUGCUGCACCACGUGCCAACCAAGUGAUAUGCUACAAGUGUGGAGAACCAGGGCACUAUUCCCGUGAGUGUCCUCAGAAUGUGGGUGCCAAGCAACCCGGAAAGUCCGUCGGGCGGGCCAAGUCGGGCAAAGCUUACUUUGUAAAGCCAACUCCUGCACGUGGCCGUGUGAACUAUGUGUCAGCAGAAGAAGCUGCAGAGGAUCCCGACGUCAUGCUGGGUACGCUUCUUGUUAAUCAUCACCCAGCGUCCGUUCUCUUUGACACUGGGUCUUCUCAUUCCUUCAUUUCAGAAAGUUAUGCACAGUUGCAUAAUAUGUCUUUUUGUGAUAUGCCAAUCCCAUUGGUUGUCCAAACCGCUGGUAGUAAAUGGCAAACCUCUAGGAUAACCUAUGACAAUGAAAUUCUAGUAGACAUGCUAGUUUUUCUAGCCUCAUUGAUAGCAUUGAAAUCUUCGGAUAUUAAUAUCAUCUUGGGCAUGGACUGGAUGUCAGCUCACUAUGCCAAGAUUGAUACUCAUUCUAGAAAUGUCCAGCUUACCCAUCCCUCGGGUGAGAUAGUAAAUGUCUCUACUCGAGUUGCCAAAUGCCAGCUCUAUUCCUUAAAUGCCAACCCUCUUCCGGAACUCGAAGACAUUCCGGUAGUCCGUGACUUCCCGGAUGUUUUUCCAGAGGAACUGCCAGGAAUUCCACCUGACACAGAUGUAGAGUUUGUAAUAGAUCUUGUUCCAGCAACUGUCCCAAUAGCCAGAAGACCAUAUAAGAUGGCACCCCUGGAGCUAGCCGAACUUAAGAAGCAAUUAGAUGAGGCUUUGAACAAAGGUUUCAUUCGUCCUAGCUCUUCUCCUUGGGCUUGUCCCGUCCUCUUCGUCAAGAAGAAAUACAGAACGGAUCGGAUGGUUGUAGAUUACCGACCAGUUAAUCUGGUCACCAUAAAGAACAAGUAUCCGCUCCCCAGGAUCAACGACCUGUACGAUCAGCUCGCUGGAUCCUCAGUCUUCUCCAAAAUGGAUUUGAGGUUGGGAUACCAUCAAAUCAAGAUUAAGAACGGGGACAUUCCAAAAACUCCUUUCGUUACUCGUUAUGGCCAAUAUGAGUACACCGUCAUGUCCUUCGGUUUGACCAAUGCCCCAGCCACUUUCUCUCGACUGAUGAAUUCAAUCUUCAUGGAGUAUUUGGACAAAUUUGUCGUGGUAUAUCUCGAUGAUAUUCUCAUCUACUCGAAGAACGAACAAGAACAUGCCGAGCAUCUAAGGCUGGUAUUGAUGAAACUUCGAGAGCAUCGCCUUUAUGCCAAAUUUUCAAAAUGUGAAUUCUGGUUACCAGAAGUGACCUAUCUAGGUCACGUAAUCUCUGGUAAGGGUAUUGCUGUCAAUCCCGAGAGAGUUCAAGCUGUCCUUGAUUGGACUCAACCUGAAUCGGUUAAGCAAGUUAGGAGUUUUCUUGGUCUAGCGAGCUAUUGUCGCUGCUUUGUCGAGAAUUUCUCCAAGGUUGCAAAGCCUCUAACUGAACUCCUCAAGAAAGAUAAAAAGUUCAAGUGGACACCACAGUGUGAGCAUAGUUUUCAGGAACUGAAAAGACGCCUGACUUCUGCACCUGUGUUGCUACCACCAGAUUUUUCUAAGGACUUUGUUAUCUACUGCAACGCCUCGCGACAAGGAUUAGGUUGCAUUCUCAUGCAAGAUCGUCAUGUGAUCGCAUACGCAUCUCGACAGUUGCGUCCACAUGAGGAUAAUUAUCCCACACAUGACCUUGAGCUUGCAGCGGUGGUCCAUGCACUAAAUGUUGGGGAACGUCGCAUGGGAAACAAAAAUUUUCCUACGCGCACGAAGACCUAUCAUGGUGAUGUCCAUCUACGAGAGGGGACGAGUCAUCUACAUACCCUUGUAGAUCGUACAGCAGAAGCGUUAGAGAACGCGGUUGAUGUAGUGGAACGUCCUCACGUCCCUCGAUCCGCCCCGCGAACAAUCCCGCGAUCCGUCCCACGAUCUAGUACCGAACGGACGGCACCUCCGCGUUCAGCACACAUACAGCUCGACGAUGAUCUCGGCCUUCUUGAUCCAGCAAGAGAGACGGAGAGGUAGAAGAGUUCUCCGGCAGCGUGACGACGCUCCGGAGGUUGGUGAUGAUCUUGUCUCAGCAGGGCUCCGCCCGAGCUCCGCAGAAACGCGAUCUAGAGGAAAAACUAUGGAGAUAUGUGGUCGGGCAACCGUGAGAAAGUCGUCUCAAAUCUGCCCUAAAAGCUCCAUAUACAUAGGAGGAGGGAGGGGGACCUUGCCUUGGGGUCCAAGGGACCCUCAAGGGGUCGGCCGAGCCAAGGGGGGGAGGACUCCCCCCCCCAAACCGAGUUGGACUUGGUUUGGUGGGAUGAGUCCCCCUCCCUUCCCUCUUCCUCCCUCUUUUUUUUCUUUUCCUUUGAUUUCCUUCUCUUGGCGCAUAGGCCCCUUUGGGACUGUCCCACCAGCCCACUAAGGGCUGGUGUGUCUCCCCAAAGGCUAUGGGCUUCCCCGGGGUGGGUUGCCCCCCCCGGUGAACUCCCGGAACCCAUUUGUCAUUCCCGGUACAUUCCCGGUAACUCUGAAAACCUUCCGGUAAUCAAAUGAGGUCAUCCUAUAUAUCAAUCUUCGUUUCCGGACCAUUCCGGAAACCCUCGUGACGUCCGUGAUCUCAUCCGGGACUCCGAAUAACAUUCGGUAACCAACCAUAUAACUCAAAUACGCAUAAAACAACGUCGAACCUUAAGUGUGCAGACCCUGCGGGUUCGAGAACUAUGUAGACAUGAUCCGAGAGACUCCUCGGCCAAUAUCCAAUAGCGGGACCUGGAUGCCCGUAUUGGAUCCUACAUAUUCUACGAAGAUCUUAUCGUUUGAACCUCAGUGCCAAGGAUUCGUAUAAUCCCGUAUGUCAUUCCCUUUGUCCUUCGGUAUGUUACUUGCCCGAGAUUCGAUCGUCAGUAUCCGCAUAACUAUUUCAAUCUCGUUUACCGGCAAGUCUCUUUACUCGUUCCGUAAUACAAGAUCCCGCAACUUACACUAAGUUACAUUGCUUGCAAGGCUUGUGUGUGAUGUUGUAUUACCGAGUGGGCCCCGAGAUACCUCUCCGUCACACGGAGUGACAAAUCCCAGUCUUGAUCCAUACUAACUCAACUAACACCUUCGGAGAUACCUGUAGAGCAUAUUUAUAGUCACCCAGUUACGUUGCGACGUUUGAUACACACAAAGCAUUCCUCUGGUGCCAGUGAGUUAUAUGACCUCAUGGUCAUAGGAAUAAAUACUUGACACGCAGAAAACAGUAGCAACAAGAUGACACGAUCAACAUGCUACGUCUAUUAGUUUGGGUCUAGUCCAUCACGUGAUUCUCCCAAUGACGUGAUCCAGUUAUCAAGCAACAACACCUUGUUCAUAAUCUGAAGACACUGACUAUCAUCGAUCAACUGGCUAGCCAACUAGAGGCAUGCUAGGGAUGGUGUUUUGUCUAUGUAUCCACACAUGUAAAUGAGUCUUCAUUCAAUACAAUUAUAGCAUGGAUAAUAAACUAUUAUCUUGAUACAGGAAUUAUAAUAAUAACUAUACAUUUAUUAUUGCCUCUAGGGCAUAAUUCCAACACUAAAAACCCGGCGACAUUACCUUCUGGGUAAUCGUUGCGAAAUAUUCACCGAUCACCAAAGUUUGAAAUAUAUCUUCACCCAGCCGGAUUUGAAUCUCAGGCAAAGACGGUGGGUUGAGUUGAUCUCGGAUUACGACUUAGGGAUAACUUACACCCCGGGGAAGGCCAAUGUUAUGGCCGAUGCGCUAAGUCGUAAAUCUUAUUGUAACAAUUUGAUGCUACAACGAGGUCAACCACAUCUCCAUGAGGACUUUCGGAAGUUGAAUCUUCAUAUUGUUCCUCAAGGAUUCCUUUCUACCCUGGUGGCGAAGCCUACUCUUAAGGAUCAAAUCAUAGCUGGCCAAAAGCGUGACAAGGGUAUAUCACGGAUCAAGGAGAAUAUUUUUAGCGGAAACGCUAAAGAAUUUUCCAUGAACGAUCAAGGUGUUGUGUUCUUCCAGAAUCGUUUAGUGGUUCCUAAGAACCCACAUCUAAGGCAGUUAAUCCUUAAGGAGGCUCAGGAUUCUCCUCUCACCAUUCAUCCCGGUAGUACUAAGAUGUAUCAGGACCUACGCCAGAGGUUCUGGUGGACUAGGAUGAAGAGAUAAAUUGCUGAGUUCGUUGCUAACUGCGACAUUUGUCGUCGAGUUAAGGCAGAACAUCAAAGGCCUGCUGGCACCCUUCAGCCUCUAGCUAUUCCUGAAUGGAAAUGGGAUAAAGUUAGCAUGGGUUUCAUUACCGGAUUUCCCAAGACCAAGAAAGGAAAUAAUGCUAUCUUUGUGGUCAUUGACCGUCUUUCCAAAGUGGCUCAUUUUCUUCCCGUUCGAGAGAGUAUAACAGCUAGCCAGCUAGUAGAGUUAUAUAUCUCUCAAAUAGUGUCUCUUCAUGGUGUUCCCCUGGAGAUUAACUCGGACCGUGGAAGUAUCUUUACUUCUCGCUUCUGGGAAAGUUUUCAGAAUGCCAUGGGGACUCACCUAUCUUUUAGCACUGCUUUCCAUCCCCAAUCAAGUGGUCAAGUAGAAAGAGUGAAUCAAAUCCUAGAAGAUAUGCUCCAAGAUUGUUUUAUAUCGUUCGGUAUGAAUUGGGAAAAGUGCCUUCCAUUCGCCGAAUUCGCUUAUAACAAUAGCUACCAAUCAAGCUUGGGCAAAGCCCCUUUUGAAGUUCUCUAUGGACGAAGAUGUCGAACACCUGUAAAUUGGUCAGAAACCGGAGAGAGGCAACUCUUUGGCCCGGAUAUGAUCCAGGAUGCAGAAGAGCAGGUUCGCAUUAUUCAUGAAAAGUUGAAAACAGCCCAGUCUCGUCAAAAGAGCCAAUAUAAUCGUCAUCAUAAGGCUGUGACCUUUGAAGUUGACGAGAAGGCUUACCUUCGGGUUACACCUUUGAAGGGUACCCAUCGAUUCGGUAUCAAGGGCAAAUUGGCUCCUCGUUACAUUGGUCCUUUUCGCAAUCUUGCCAAACGAGGAGAAGUUGCCUAGCAGUUGGAACUUCCUCCGCAUCUUUCCAAGGUUCAUGAUGUUUUCCACGUCUCGCAACUCAGGCGUUGCUUUUCGGAUCCUAUCCGUGAAGUGGACCACGAAACGCUUGAUCUCCAAGAUAACCUUUCAUAGCGAGAAUACCCCGUGCGUAUUCUUGAUCAAGCUGAGCGUACCACUCGACGUCGAAACCUCAAGUUUCUUAAAGUUCAAUGGUCAAAUCAUUCUGAAAAGGAGGCAACUUGGGAAAGAGAGGAUCGUCUCCGACUUGAGUAUCCUGCGUUAUUCCCGACGACUUCUAAAUCUCGGGACGAGAUUCUUUUGAGUGGGGGUGAGUUGUCACAUCCCUGACACCUUAAGCAAGUUAGUCUUGUGCUCAUGUCUUCUUUGCAUUUUGCAUCUAAGAAGUUUCAACAAGAACAAGAAAGUGGCAAAGGAAAAACUCAAAACCCUAGCCACUACUUUAAAUAAAGGAAAUCUCAAACUAGUUGAAAUCAAUGAACCCAAAAUGGCCUCAAGAAAAGUUCAAACUUUCUGAUAAAUCAUGAAAGUAAAUGAGCAUUGGAGAAAACUAUUUUCUUGACACUUUAAGCAUUUUAAAUUAAUGCAAAAAGCCACUGGUUUCAAAUUUUAAAUUUGAAAUCAGAAACUACAAAUUCUCAAAAAUGUUGAAAACUUUGGAAAUGGUUGGGAAUAUUAUAACAAAUAUUCAAGUGUGUUUAAAAUAGUUUUACAACCCAUUUUUGNUUGUGGAUCGCCUUUUAUGUUUCAAAAAAAAACAAAUGAUAAAAUAUUCAAAAAAAAAUUCAAAAAAACAGAUGCCAAUGUGUUAUGUGUUCUAGUUGUUAGGAAAAUUGUCACAUCCCUGACACCUUAAGCAAGUUAGUCUUGUGCUCAUGUCUUCUUUGCAUUUUGCAUCUAAGAAGUUUCAACAAGAACAAGAAAGUGGCAAAGGAAAAACUCAAAACCCUAGCCACUACUUUAAAUAAAGGAAAUCUCAAACUAGUUGAAAUCAAUGAACCCAAAAUGGCCUCAAGAAAAGUUCAAACUUUCUGAUAAAUCAUGAUAAUACCCACUGGUUUCAAAUUUUAAAUUUGAAAUCAGAAACUAUAAAUUCUCAAAAAUGUUGAAAACUUUGGAAAUGGUUGGAAUAUUAUAACAAAUAUUCAGGUGUGUUUAAAAUAGUUUUACAACCCAUUUUUGAGCUGAAAUAAAUAGCAAAACAGAACAAAACAGAAAAGAAAUAAGAGGAAGAAAAACCUUACCUGUCGCCUGAGGAGGCCCAGCCCACCAGGGGCAGGGUCGUCUUCUUCCUCUGCCUUCUGGCAGAGGGGAGAUCGACCACGGCGGCCCCCUCCACCUCCUGCUUCGCCGUGGCGAGCUCCAGAGCUCUCCGGGACAGCGCGACAACGGGGAUAAGCUCCCCGAGGCCUCCUCUAUCCAUUCCUAGCGUUAGCUCUCUCCCUCCUCUCGGAUCUUUUCCUCCCUCCUGCUGCCGCCAUUACCACGAGCUCGAGCUCGAGCCGCAGCGCUUCUAGCCACGGGAACCUUCCUCCGAGUAGUCCAGCAGCUUCGCCUCGUCGAGCUGGUCCGCUCUGCACAAGCCGAAGCUUCCCCGAGCUCUGCAUCCCCCCAACGCCAUCGUCUUCCACCUCCGGCCGCCGGACCUCUCCCGUCGAUUCGCUCCCUCCGGCGCACCCCCGAGCCCCUCAACAACACCAUCGGAACCGCCGUGAGCUCGUCGUCGUUUCCCCUCUCGCCCCACGCUCUUUCGUGCAUCGUAGCCCCGUUCCCCACCAAGGCCGAGAGCUCCUCGCCGCCGGUCAUGUCGUCGCCGUUGCUGCGGUGUCUGAUCCACGCGCUCGAGCUAGGGAUCGAGCUCCUGGAGCCUCCAGGAGUGUGAUGAGCCCAUCAGCUAUCCUCCCCGUGCCCUAGACCCCUCAACUGCGGGAGGCCGAGCUUCGGCCGCCGCUUCGGCUCGUCGCCGGCGCCUCUCCCCGAGACCCUAGCCUCCCCUGAUGCCCCCGCUAGAUGCGCCGUUGCACCAGCGUCCCGUAGCUCCUUUCUGCGCCCAAAACCGACGGCCGAUGCGCUGUCUAGCCCUCUCCGGCAAGCCCUCCGCCGUGCCCGUGGUCGCCGCCGGCCAUGCUCCGGUGGGGGCCGACGUGGCAAAGCUAAUCUAGUAGAUUAGGAGCUUAAUCUCUCGCUGUCAGUGGGCCCAAGGCCAAGUCAACUCAGUUUAGGGGCUCGUCAGCACGGGAUUAGUCUCAAAGAGGCUGACCAGUGGGUCCCCCCUGUCAGGUUUGACCUGAACAGGUCGGCUGACCUGCUGACGUCAGUCUGAUGCAAUAAAGGGAAUUUCCAGUAUAGAAAUAGAUCCAGGAAAUUGCUAGAACUUGUAAAAAUCAUAGAAAUUAAUCUGUAACUCCAAUGAAAAUAAUUUAUAUAUGAAAAAGUAUCAGAAAAAUUCAAGGAAUCUGAAUAUGCUAUUUUCAAUCAUGCUUGAAAAAGUUACAGAACCCUAACAUGUAGAAUAAGGAAUAAUUCAAUUCUUAUAAUUACUUUUUAAAUGGAAUUUGGAAAAUAUUCAAAUUUCAUUAUGAAUGCCAUGAUCACAUAUUGUCCUAAUUACAAAUCAGUACAUUAACAUGACAUCUCAUGCAUGCUAACAUCAAGUUGAUCUGAGCAUCAGGUCGAAUCAAUUAAACCGGUAUCCGAGAAUACCCCGUUUGAAUUGAUAUUCGAAUGUGAUUCAAAUCAAGUCUAAACCUAAUACAUGUUGAUUAUAAUAACUUGUCACCUUGCAUUCUCAUGCCAUGCUCAUGCAUCAUCUUGUUUGCAUAUGAUUGUUAUUGAUUGUUGCCAUUCAUUUCGGUAGGCUCCACACCCCCGGAUUCCAGCGAAUAUCCGUCUGACGGAUAUCGUUCCUCCUCUGAGCAACAAGGCAAGCAACCCUUUUGAUCAUCCCGAUAAAUCCCAUGUUCUUGCUCCUGCACCUAUUUAUUGCAUUAAGAUCAAAUGCUUCAACUGCUUUUGCCACGAUAGUUGAACCCACUUCCUUUGCAUGACCUAACCUUGUCACAGUAAAUAGCCGAACCUUGCAACCUAGCAUACCUGGUAGUUGAUUGAGUUGUGAUGUGCCUUAUCCUGCUAUGCAUCUAUGCUUAGAGUUGUGUAUGGUCUGUCAUCUAGGAGAUGAACAAAAUUGUGAGAAUGUGUUCGGUAAGUAAAGGUUGUGUGUUGAACCUGAUUUGGUAAAGGUACCGGUGAAAGGCUGUGUAGGAGUACAUGGCGGGUUGUUUCAUUGGAGCCGUCCUUAGGAACUGAGUUCCGUGUAUGUAAUCCAAGACUAGAUACUACCACAUGCUGGGCCCUGAAAUAUGACCCCGCUCGGCCUAUUAAUCGCGUAGUACUCGGUCCAGGAGAUGCAAGUAGUUUCUGGUGUUUAUAGUAAUGCUGGAGGCCGUGCAUGGUGCUAACCUGAGAGGUGGGCCGUGAUGCGGUAGGCAGUGGCACGGUGUACCAAGUGGCACCCGGAUGGUGGGCUUGGGAACCCUGCGCACAUCGUUUGAGGCCGUGGCGGAAACCUCGGCCGGACUUCCGUACGGGUUACUCUCAUAUAGGCGAUAAACCUGGACUAGGUACUAGUGUGUUUAACGGUCGUGGCCGACUCCCUCGCUGGGCUUCCGCUUGAAGGUUGCCGAGGUGCAUGACGUGCACAUGGAGAUAAGUGGCAAUAGCGUGUGUGACGAAGUACACCCCUGCAGGGUUAUGAUCUAUUCGAAUAGCCGCGUCCGCGGAUAUUGACUACUUGGAGACAUAUGUUGUUCAUAAUAACUUAAAUGGCUACUCAUAAAAUUGCCAAGAUAAGCGUGAGUGUCGUGGAUGGCAUUUCCGUACGGAGACGGAAUGAUUCCACGAUAGUGUAUUGUUGUGGUGUUAGUGGACUCGUGUGCGAGAAAUCAAGUUGUCAAAAUUAUUUAAAAAUGCAAGUUGUCUAGCCACGAGUCAAAUGUUGGCUUUCCGCAUGAAACCCCACAAUACCUUUUGAUACCUUGCAUGAGUAGUUAGUUAUCCUAAAGUCUUGCUGAGUACCUUCGUACUCAUGUUGGUUUAAUAAAUGUUGCAGAGGUUGCUAAUGACCCUAAUGGAGGGUUCUUCGUAGACAUCGACGACGACGAGUAGCUGGUGUCCCAGCUACGAUCUGGCCCUACGUUGGUCUGUAGUAUAGUCAGGCCAUGUGCCUUCUAGUUACCCUGUCUGUACUCAGACAGUUUAAACUCUUCCGCUGGCUUGUAACUGAAUGACUCCUAUUAUGGGUCGUGAGACCCUUAAUGUGUAAUAUUAUGUGUGUGGCUCUUCCGAGCCUCUUAAAUAAAGCUUGUAUUUUUAUGGUUAUGUUGUGAUGCCAUCGAUGUAUCUAUACAUAUUGGUAUGCCAUGCGUACGUGUGUCAUGCUUGAUAUGUAUGGGGUUCGAUUACCUAGUCGUGAACUUUAGUAGCACUCCUUACAAGGAAAUUCCCCUUUGUGAUCCAACGAGCCUUGGUAGUUCGCUACUGCUCCGGACACAUUGGUUGACCGGCAUGUGUCGUUCUUAGCUGCUGUGUCUGUCCUCUUUGGGGAAAUGUCACGCGAAGUAAGGGAGUCCUUGUAGCUUGCUACGACUCGUCUACAUUCGCUGAUGACCGACACCUGCUUUGUUGGGUCAUGUAUGCCUGUCCUUGUGCGGUACUGCCACUUUGGUUUAUGACUUGACAUGUCGAUCCGGGUUCUUUGACAUUGGACUGCUAGCGACACUAUCGCAUACGUGAGUCAAAAGACGCAAACGGUCCCGGCUAAGGUAAGGCUGCAACCGUGGAGUUAACCGUGUGUGAGACCACAAAGGGAUGCGAUGUGUUACAGGCUGGAUUCCUAUGGCUUAGGAUCGGGGUCCCGACAGCGUUGGUAUCAGAGCCUGACUGACUGUAGGAUUACUAAGCCAAACUGGUCGAAGUUGAGUCUAGAAUUGCUUUAGUUAUAUAUAAGGGAAUUGUUUGUGGAAGGGAACGUAAGACUCUUGUUCUCUUCUCAAGUUAUUCUAUUCUGGUCAUCCUCGUCUUUUCUGCGGGAAUUAAGGGCUAGGUUACUCAUCUUCUCCUAGGCUCGUGUUUCUGAUCGAUGGCUUAUAGGACUACGGGUCAAGAGCUAUUGGGUUUCUUUUAUUCCUAGAAAGCAGGAAGUAAGUUUGAUGAUGAGAGAGUUGAACUUGAUAGUUGAGUGGUUACGCUAUUCCAUUUUGGGUUGUCUCAAAAUUUGUUUUUGAGCAAUUACAACCGUUAUGCUGCCCAAUUUUUCAUUCAGAGCUCUAAUGCUUUUGCAUUACUCUCUAAUUACAGAUGCCUGGCCGUCCUUCUCGUCAGGUGGUACGUCUGACCAGGUGCAUUGAUGUGUCGGGUCAUACGGCCAUGCUGGUCAGGGUGAUGUCGGUGUGCGGUUACCGUUGGUACCCCGAGUACACAGUGGAGGAACAGUACCGAGACUUCAACCAGAGCCAGUACAUCUGCACUGUUAGGGUAUUUCCAGACUACCCUGGAGCUGAGAAGCCAAUCCAUUGGUCCUAUGGGUUGGGGGUCACCGUUGACAUGGCAGUAGAGGAUGCUGCCUAUUCAAUGUUGACCAUUAUGAGAGCGAGACAUGCACUGCUGCAGAAUUCAGAGUUCUGCUAUGUUCCGGCCUCUCAGCCUGGUGAAGAGGGACACCUCAGUGGAGUCUAUUUCGAUUCUUCUAUGGAGGAUCCACUACUGCAGUCCACUGUUGAGAUGCUAGAGAACAGAGACAGGGAUGCUCGUGCUCUCCGUAUGGAACUUUAUGCUACCCGUACCCGUCUGUGGACGGAUUUGACGCAGCUCGCACCGGUAGUCCAGACAGGGUAUGGAGAGAUGGAGAUGCUGAACCCUGUCAGGACCCAUCUUCCGGCUCACGUUGACUGGCCAGCUAUAGGAGGAGUCACACCUCUUCGGGGACCCCUCUUACCACCAGUCAGGGGACCAAGGCCACAUCCGUGUCCUUAUGGAUCCCAGGGAUCUCAGGCUAGAGUGUUCCCUGAUCCGCAGGUUGAGCUUCCAGGUCAUGGAGGUAAUCUCUAUGAGAUGUUCUAUGCGGAUGCCUGAGCUGUGAGCGGAAGGAUAGUAUGGUAGUAGCCGUACGUUCACAGUCCUGCGUGACUGGUGAAGUAUGUCGGUGAUGUGAAAUGAAUUCCGGAGGCCUAGAUAAAUAAUGUAUAGGAAGCUUGUAAGCCUCUGAUGAGUAGUUUCAUAAUUUCAGUAGUUUGCUCUUCGGUUAAGGUUGUACUGAACUAUGUAAGGGUGUGUAUGAACCAUGGUGUAUAUAUAGCAGUUGCUUGUUACCAUGCUGUUCGGAUAUUCAUUUCCGCAUUCCGUGUGUUCAGUACAUUCUUAAUCCAUAGCUAGUCUUGAUAUGAUGUUGGUCUAAGCUAUGAGUUUGUUUCUCAGGAUGGUGUUCACCAGGUUGAACCGUGCCCCUGCUCAUGAGCAAGGCGAGGGUAGUCAAGCGUCGCACGAAGACCUGCCUCACCCGCCUUCUCUGGUGGAAGUGAUGCUUGAGGCAGAGAGAAAUAAAAGAGAGACCAACCGACUGUUAGAGCGUAUUGAGCAGAAUACGUCUCGUUAGCCUAGGAAUGCUGCAGUGUCCCUUAAUGACUUUGUGAAGUUGAAUCCUCCAAAGUUUCAUCAUUCCGUCGAUCCCCUCGACGCUGAUGACUGGCUGUGCAGCAUCUCACGCAAGAUUCGCUCUGUGAAUGUGUCUGAGGCCGACAAGGUGACCUUUGCGGCAUAUUUCCUGGAAGGACCCGCCAAUCUGUGGUGGGAGAAUUUUGAAGCUAUGCGUCCCGCUGAACCAGUGGCCACAUGGGCAGACUUCAGUGUAGCUUUUCGUCUGCACCAUAUUCCAGAGGGCCUGAUGGACAAAAAGAGAGAGGAGUUCUGUGCCUUCACUCAGGGCAAGUUGUCUGUGGAUGCCUAUAGCCGCGAGUUCGGUAUUCUCGCCCGCUAUGCAACAGAGGAGGUGUCUACUGACGCCAAGAAGCAAGCAAGGUUUCAUAAGGGUCUGAGCCCUGAGCUCCGUCGUGAUCUGCGCCUCCAUGAGUGUGCAAGUUUUCAAGCCCUAGUCAACAAAGCGAUCAGUGCCGAGACUGGUCAUACUGACUUCGUAGCCACGAGGAAGCAUUCCCGUGACUUUGGCUCGUCUUCUGGUUCCGCGUUUCCAAAACGCAGGCUGUGGGUUCCAAACAGUUCUCUGCCACCAAGAUACACUCCGAGGCCAUCCUACGUGGCGCCUCAGACGAAUCAGGCCAACCCUCCAGCAAAAGCUUAUGGUGGUCCAGCUAGCAAUGCUGCACCACGUGCCAACCAAGUGAUAUGCUACAAGUGUGGAGAACCAGGGCACUAUUCCCGUGAGUGUCCUCAGAAUGUGGGUGCCAAGCAACCCGGAAAGUCCGUCGGGCGGGCCAAGUCGGGCAAAGCUUACUUUGUAAAGCCAACUCCUGCACGUGGCCGUGUGAACUAUGUGUCAGCAGAAGAAGCUGCAGAGGAUCCCGACGUCAUGCUGGGUACGCUUCUUGUUAAUCAUCACCCAGCGUCCGUUCUCUUUGACACUGGGUCUUCUCAUUCCUUCAUUUCAGAAAGUUAUGCACAGUUGCAUAAUAUGUCUUUUUGUGAUAUGCCAAUCCCAUUGGUUGUCCAAACCGCUGGUAGUAAAUGGCAAACCUCUAGGAUAACCUAUGACAAUGAAAUUCUAGUAGACAUGCUAGUUUUUCUAGCCUCAUUGAUAGCAUUGAAAUCUUCGGAUAUUAAUAUCAUCUUGGGCAUGGACUGGAUGUCAGCUCACUAUGCCAAGAUUGAUACUCAUUCUAGAAAUGUCCAGCUUACCCAUCCCUCGGGUGAGAUAGUAAAUGUCUCUACUCGAGUUGCCAAAUGCCAGCUCUAUUCCUUAAAUGCCAACCCUCUUCCGGAACUCGAAGACAUUCCGGUAGUCCGUGACUUCCCGGAUGUUUUUCCAGAGGAACUGCCAGGAAUUCCACCUGACACAGAUGUAGAGUUUGUAAUAGAUCUUGUUCCAGCAACUGUCCCAAUAGCCAGAAGACCAUAUAAGAUGGCACCCCUGGAGCUAGCCGAACUUAAGAAGCAAUUAGAUGAGGCUUUGAACAAAGGUUUCAUUCGUCCUAGCUCUUCUCCUUGGGCUUGUCCCGUCCUCUUCGUCAAGAAGAAAUACAGAACGGAUCGGAUGGUUGUAGAUUACCGACCAGUUAAUCUGGUCACCAUAAAGAACAAGUAUCCGCUCCCCAGGAUCAACGACCUGUACGAUCAGCUCGCUGGAUCCUCAGUCUUCUCCAAAAUGGAUUUGAGGUUGGGAUACCAUCAAAUCAAGAUUAAGAACGGGGACAUUCCAAAAACUCCUUUCGUUACUCGUUAUGGCCAAUAUGAGUACACCGUCAUGUCCUUCGGUUUGACCAAUGCCCCAGCCACUUUCUCUCGACUGAUGAAUUCAAUCUUCAUGGAGUAUUUGGACAAAUUUGUCGUGGUAUAUCUCGAUGAUAUUCUCAUCUACUCGAAGAACGAACAAGAACAUGCCGAGCAUCUAAGGCUGGUAUUGAUGAAACUUCGAGAGCAUCGCCUUUAUGCCAAAUUUUCAAAAUGUGAAUUCUGGUUACCAGAAGUGACCUAUCUAGGUCACGUAAUCUCUGGUAAGGGUAUUGCUGUCAAUCCCGAGAGAGUUCAAGCUGUCCUUGAUUGGACUCAACCUGAAUCGGUUAAGCAAGUUAGGAGUUUUCUUGGUCUAGCGAGCUAUUGUCGCUGCUUUGUCGAGAAUUUCUCCAAGGUUGCAAAGCCUCUAACUGAACUCCUCAAGAAAGAUAAAAAGUUCAAGUGGACACCACAGUGUGAGCAUAGUUUUCAGGAACUGAAAAGACGCCUGACUUCUGCACCUGUGUUGCUACCACCAGAUUUUUCUAAGGACUUUGUUAUCUACUGCAACGCCUCGCGACAAGGAUUAGGUUGCAUUCUCAUGCAAGAUCGUCAUGUGAUCGCAUACGCAUCUCGACAGUUGCGUCCACAUGAGGAUAAUUAUCCCACACAUGACCUUGAGCUUGCAGCGGUGGUCCAUGCACUAAAUGUUGGGGAACGUCGCAUGGGAAACAAAAAUUUUCCUACGCGCACGAAGACCUAUCAUGGUGAUGUCCAUCUACGAGAGGGGACGAGUCAUCUACAUACCCUUGUAGAUCGUACAGCAGAAGCGUUAGAGAACGCGGUUGAUGUAGUGGAACGUCCUCACGUCCCUCGAUCCGCCCCGCNNNNNNNNNNNNNNNNNNNNNNNNNNNNNNNNNNNNNNNNNNNNNNNNNNNNNNNNNNNNNNNNNNNNNNNNNNNNNNNNNNNNNNNNNNNNNNNNNNNNGCCGCAGCGCUUCUAGCCACGGGAACCUUCCUCCGAGUAGUCCAGCAGCUUCGCCUCGUCGAGCUGGUCCACUCUGCAGAAGCCGAAGCUUCGCCGAGCUCUGCAUCACCCCAACGCCAUCGUCUUCCACCUCCGGCCGCCGGACCUCUCCCGUCGAUUCGCUCCCUCCGGCGCACCCCCGAGCCCCUCAACAACACCAUCGGAACCGCCGUGAGCUCGUCGUCGUUUCCCCUCUCGCCCCACGCUCUUUCGUGCAUCGUAGCCCCGUUCCCCACCAAGGCCGAGAGCUCCUCGCCGCCGGUCAUGUCGUCGCCGUUGCUGCGGUGUCUGAUCCACGCGCUCGAGCUAGGGAUCGAGCUCCUGGAGCCUCCAGGAGUGUGAUGAGCCCAUGAGCUAUCCUCCCCGUGCCCUAGAUCCCUCAACUGCGGGAGGCCGAGCUUCGGCCGCCGCUUCGGCUCGUCGCCGGCGCCUCUCCCGGCGACCCUAGCCUCCCCUGAUGCCCCCGCUAGAUGCGGCGUUGCACCAGCGUCCCGUAGCUCCUUUCUGCGCCCAAAACCGACGGCCGAUGCGCUGUCUAGCCCUCUCNNNNNNNNNNNNNNNNNNNNNNNNNNNNNNNNNNNNNNNNNNNNNNNNNNNNNNNNNNNNNNNNNNNNNNNNNNNNNNNNNNNNNNNNNNNNNNNNNNNNAUGCCGCGCUAUGCGUUCGAGGAUGAUCCACGGACAUACUUCCGCGACCUCCGUGCAAAAAAGCCCCUCGUAUACUAGUGCUAACUCGUCCUCGGUAUGUUCCACCUCACGUAAGUACGCCGUGUACAUGCGUACGAGUAUUCGUGUAUGGUGGUAUUUGUGUCCGUACGGUUUAGUGCUAUUAUGUUGUGUAUGUAUGCAGGCAGGAUGCGUAUGCAAGUUUAAGAAUCUCUAUUCCUAAUUGCUUGUAAAUACGUUUUUUUGUUACAUGGUUUUUUCGGAAACGCUUCCAGCCGGGGUUUGACAAGGGCUUGCAAUAUUUUUUCGUUCAUAUUUACUUCAACCACAUUUAAAUUUGUUACAACCUUUUCUUAUUUUGUUACAAUUUGUCCAUUGAAAAGUUACAUUCACGUUUUGUUGCAACUCGAGUUUGUUGAAUUUUUUCUGCUUCAACCGGCAUUUGAUUUUACUUACAACCGUGUUAAUUUUUGCUAUAACCGGUAUCAUUUUUUGGUGUAACCGUUCAUUCAAAAAGUUGCAUACACAUUCGUGAGAGUUGUAACCCAAGUUCAUAGGAUUGUUUUGCUACAACCCAUUUUUUAUUUUGCUAUCACACAUCACCAGCAUCCUUUUUUUUGGUACGACUACGUUGAUAUUUUUUGCUACAAUCAUAUUUUUGUUGCAACCGUGGACGAAAUUUGCUGCGCCGUGGCCUAAAUUUGUUGCAUAGAGGGAUUUUUGCUGUAUGGAAGAUCUAACGGUGCGGCCCGUGGAUCUGACGACUGGGUGCGACCGGCGCGAGCGCUCUCGUCGGCGCGCUGGCGCACCCUGUUCUUUUUGUACGGUUAUUUUUGUCCCACCUCCCACAAUCCACUUUCAUUAAUUUAUUUUCUUUCUCUCAUUAAAAACCAAAUCCAUCAUUAAAGAGGAAGAUUUUGUUAUAUGCUUGCUUUGACAGAUGAUGAUUUGAUUUAAUCACGUAAAUAAUAGGUAAUUACGAAUUCAGAAAACAAUGGGAUCGCCUGGGACUCAGCCGGCUGACGUUUUCUUCAAAUUUAAACAUGAUUUUCUUUCGCUAAGCAAUCCACUCGAUUCAUUCAAUCUGGUUUUUUAGUUAUGGCCCCGUUUUCUUGUCUAACGAGUUCUUUAUUUAUAAGGCUCGUUGUAUCGGUUUUUAUGAUUAGGCCCAACUUUCUUUCAUUGGCUCAUACUCCGGUGCGAAAAGAAAUACGGUGACUCUUUGUGAGGAAACAUUGAAGUUGGGCGUGUGUGUGGGGAGAGAGUACUUUUUUUUUGCGGAAGGUGUAAAGAGAGUAUUUAGACCCGCCUGCGUAUUCAUAUUGAAAUUUACCACAUGAAAUCAAAAUUCACAAUUUCGAAAUUAAGAUGUUCAAAUUCUGCUUUUUUUCAAUAAUAUUUUUUGAAAAUGUCCAUGAAUCCAUUCUUAAAAAUAUAUUCAUGAAAUAAAAAAUUGAGUUUUUUAAGAUGAGAAUAUUUUCAAAAUGCUUGUGAGAUUCAAAUUGUCAAAAUUUUAGAAAAAUCAAAUUGCUUGUUUAAAAAAAAUCACAAAUUUAACAAAUGGUCAUCGGAGUUGCGAUCGGCUGAAAAAUAACUUACGGUUGUGACCCCACACCUUAAAACAUAUAACUGCGACCCACCUUGAAAAAUAAGCAAUUUCAGCCCCGUGAAAAAAUACAGUUACGAUCCUGCAUUAAAAACUUGCAGUUGCGCCCCUCUUAAAUAUAUGCAGUCGUGUCCCCUCUUGACAUCAAUGCAGUUGCGACGACGCAUUAAAAAACAUGCAAUUGCGACUUCAUCUUCAAAACAUGCAGUUGUGACACCGCCUUUAAAAAAUGAAGUUGCGCACCCUUAAAAUAUGUAGCUGCGAUCCCGCAUUAAAAACACAGUUGCGGCUCCGUCUUGAAAACAUGCAGUUGCAACUUCCCUUAAGAAACAUGCAAUUUCGACUUCGCAUUAAAAACAUGCAGUUGCGACACCGUCUUGAAAAUAUGUAAUUGUUGUCCCCCCUUAAAACAUGCACUCACGACCCCGCCUUGAAAACAUGCAGUUGCGACUCCCCUUAAGAAGCAUGCAAUUGCGACUUCGCAUUAAAAACAUGCAGUUGCGACACCGUCUUAAAAAUAUGUAAUUGUUGCCCCCCUAAAACAUGCACUCGCGACCCCGCCUUGAAAACAUGCAGUUGCGACUCCCCUUAAGAAACAUGCAAUUACGACUUUACAUUGAAAACAUGCAGUUGCGACACCGCCUUGAAAAUAUGUAAUUAUUGCCCNNNNNNNNNNNNNNNNNNNNNNNNNNNNNNNNNNNNNNNNNNNNNNNNNNNNNNNNNNNNNNNNNNNNNNNNNNNNNNNNNNNNNNNNNNNNNNNNNNNNACCGGGAAUGACGAAUGGGUUCCGGGAUUUCACCGGGGGGGCAACCCACCCCGGGGAAGCCCAUAGGCCUUGAGGGUGGCACACCAGCCCUUAGUGGGCUGGUGGGACAGCCCAAAAGGCUCUAUGCGCCAAGGAGAAUAAAAUCAAGAGAGAAAGAAAAAAAAAGGAGGAGGUGGGAAGGAAGGGGGACUCCCUCCCACCAAACCUAGUCCAACUCGGUUUGGGGGGGGGGGAGAGUCCUCCCCCUUGGACUCGGCCGAACCCCUUGGGCCUCCUUGAGCCCCAAGGCAAGGUCCCCUCCCUCCCACCUAUAUAUACGGAGGUUUUAGGGCUGAUUUGAGACGACUUUCCCACGGCUGCCCGACCACAUACCUCCACGGUUUUUCCUCUAGAUCGCGUUUCUGCGGAGCUCGGGCGGAGCCCUGCUGAGACAAGGUCAUCACCAACCUCCGGAGCGCCGUCAUGCUGCCGGAGAACUCUUCUACCUCUCCGUCUCUCUUGCUGGAUCAAGAAGGCCGAGAUCAUCGUCGAGCUGUACGUGUGCUGAACGCGGA
rnacentral:lncRNA from 1 species